UCAUAGGGGGACCAAUAGCAAAGGUGGAAGCCUCAAGAGUCCAACCAGCUGAGGCUGAAGCUGAAGCAGAAGCUAUAGCUGAACAAUUGAUAACAACUCUGGAGUCAACUUUAACUGAUACUGGAGGACGUUGCCCUUUCCCAUGCAUUUCUGAUGGCGAGUGUCUCAAUCGACUUUGUGCCAAGACUAGAUGCGAAUAUAUCCAGCUCAGUCUCAUCAAACACUGUGUCUAGUUUCUCCAUAAUUAUCACUUGAUUUCAUCUCUUGUAGAACCAAGGGAUUUGUAGGGCGCCUUCAAUAAUAAAGCAUGUGAGAAAUCAUAUGCAGUAGUGUCAUGUAUUAAGCGCCGAUAUGUACUUUUCUUGAUGUUGUUCACUUUACUCUUUUGCUUGUAUUUGUCUUUCACAGUACGUUUGAUUUGGGUCAUCCUGUAAUAAAGUGGAUUGUUAUCUAUAUUGGCAUUUAUUUGGUACAUGGAUGAGAGGCCUUGAACCUUUAUUUUGAUCAUUUAAUCUGGUCUUUAGAAGUUACUGUUAGAUUAAACAUUUUAUGUUUGUGCCCUACAAGUUGUGGAUCGAUGAAGAACUUCAUCUUUGUACUGAACUUAGUACUAAUUUUUAUUUAUUUAUUUAUUAUUUUUGACAAAAAAGAGUUUAUACCUUUUGAUGAUUUUAAAGUUUUUUAUUAUAGGAGAAACUUCUUGCCUUCCAACUAAACUGUAUUUUAAUAUCUUGGUCAAUGUAGAUAGAAUUUAGUAUUGAAAAUUUGAUGUUUUCCAAGAAAUAAUUAAAGUUUAGGUGUCCUUUAAUUGUUACUUAAUUCAAUUCUUAACUGUAGCUCUUGGAUACAUACCUACUUAAUAUUAUCAUGUUUGGAGGCUUAGGCACACGUGAUAACUUAUGAAGAAGGAAAUGUAAUUUGUAUUCCCCAACUUGAUUUUGGCAUCAAUCAAGUUCCCAAAUCAUUUCAAACAUAUCUAAAGCUUCAUAUCAAAUAAAAAUCAUCACGUAAAUACAGAUCCAAGGAUCAAAUGAGAAAUCCAAAACUUCAAAUUUUCCACUCUAUUUUCUCCAUAAGACUCAAAUAAAGUUGUAACAAAAUUACAUCCAAUGAUUUCUAGGAUCCUAAAGAACAAGAGCCAUGAGAAAUUUGAACCCUAUAAUCCGCAAAAAGGGACCAAAAUUUUGACCAAAAUUUUUUUAAAAAGUUAACCAAAGACCAAAAGUGUGCCUUUUUUAAUCUUUUAGAGACCAAAAUCACUCGUUUUGAUUCUUAAAGACUAAAAGUUUACAUCAGUAAUAUGUAAGGGAUGAUUGGUUCAAUUUUCCCUUUCAAUUUCUAAUGGAACAAAACUAUUGAACUUAUCUGUGUGUUCGUAAAACAUGCUAAGGGAAUAGCCGCCCCACUCAUUUCAAUUUCUCUCCUUCUCAACUAAAAACGUUAAACUUUUCCGCCCCCAAACUCUCUCCUUCUCUCUCAUCUCUUGUGUCAACAAAUCCCCUUCUUUGGGUUAUGUGUAUAGUGUUCCAAAUAACAAAUCCUCUUCUUUUGUUUGGAUAGAAUAUUAUUUGAAAUAUUAUUUGGACUAAUUACUAUAGCACUUUUUGUGGUGUGAUGUAUGUGAGAUAAAAAGAUAAUUGAAAAUAUAAAAAAGUGAAUUGAAAAAUAUAUUUAUGAUGCAAACGAAAUAUUAUUUGGAAUAAUUUGAUAUCCAAAUACGGUUUUAAGAGGACUCAAGUUAAGUAGAGUGGUAAUUUUAAACACAGCGUAAUAAAUAGGGGUAAUUUCAGAAACCUCCCUUGAGGUUUCUGACAAUUUCAGUUAGCUCCCCCAAUUUUAGAAAAUUACACUAACCUCCAUUGGUUCAAUAAAAUAACUACAAUACCCUCAACUUAACAGAUAAUUUACAACAUAUGCGGGAUACAAAAACCAAACCAAAAGUAAAAGAAAAUAUAAAAACCUGCAACAACUCGUCAUCAUCCCCAACCCUACUUUAAUUAACAGUGGUUCAUUUUCUCUUUCCCUCCCUUUUUGUCUACCUCUUAUGAUUUGCUCAUUCCUAUCUAUAAUCCUUCGGUCUCUUCCACCCAUCAACUACACCACCAUGCAAACAUACCCGAAGUGUUUAUUUCUUGUCUAUUUCUCUCUUUCCGUGGUACUUAACUAUCAGCCCCUUGUUUAUUUCUCUUCGUAUUAUAAUUUGCAUAUAAUAAAGAAUCAAAAUUUCCAAAAUUACAAAUUGAGGGAGCAAAUAAAAAUUUCAUGGACAAAUUAGAUGGAGAUGUUGAAGAUGGUUGUGAUAUAGAGGAAAAAAUUGAAAUUAAUGGGCUAUGGUUGGAAGAGAAAAAGAGAUGACUCUGGGUUAUGCUAUUAUGUCUAUUACGCACUAGAAUCUAAUAUCUUUAUUUAGUUUUGUUUUUGUUUGAUUUACAAGUAUUGGUGGUGGUUUGUCAUAAAGAUUAGUUUCACUGUUCUUAACGCCAUUAGAGCAUGGGGUUGUUCUUAGCAUAGAUAUCAAUAGUGGUGGGCCAGGUCUUCUGUUCAAGGAAGGUAAUAUGCGAUAAGUGUUGAGUUCAUAAUUUGAGGUGUGAGAUUAGCCAAUAGACAAAAUAUAGUGUUAAUUUGGGGCGGGAAGCUUUUGAGGGUAUUUUAGUUGGUGGUGGUGGUUAUGGUCUAUUUGUAAAGUGAUUCGGGUAGAGUUUAGGAUUUUGAUAAUGCCGAAAUUGAUACAAUUUGGGGAUUAAGUUGGAGUGCGAUUUUGGUAAAAUUUGAGAUUUUAGUGAUACCAAAAUUGAUAGAAUUUGGGAAUUAAAUUGGAGUUUGCUUGAAUGGUUGAUGAGGUUUUGGGUUUACAAUUAUCGUGGAAGCAUAGUAAAUUUGGAUAAAAGUGUUUGUUAAUUUUUUUUUGGUUAAAUUGAUCACUAAACCUUUUUUUUUACUUUCUUUUGAUGUUAUGAUAUUGCAUAAGGGUAUUUUAGGAUAUUUAAGUAUAAUUCUAGCCUAAUGGGUCUCUAAUGUUACUUAAAUAGUAAAAAGAAAGGAGGUUAGUGUAAUUUUCUAAAAUUGAGGGGAGCUAAGUGAAAUUGUCAGAAACCUCAAUGGAGGUUUCUGAAAUUACCCCUAAUAAGUAAUAACACAAUACGAAUACAACUCCGACGCAACCUAACGGAAACACGGUAUCAAAAGAAUUUACGUAGCAAUUAGGUGGACAUGAUUAUGAGGACGUAUCCAAAAUAGGUCAUAUUCAGGGGCAGAGCCAGAAAAAAAUCUUAGUAGGGACAAAAAUAAUACUAAAAUUUUUUAUCUACUCUUUUUAUAAUUUUUUAAGCAAAAAAAAAGUCUCAUGCAUAAAAUCACCAUUUCACAAGUUAAAAUAUUUAUCAAAUAACCCAUUUAUUAGUUAUUACAUUAACUAAUCAAUUUUCAAAUUUUUUUAAAACAGUAAUAGUCUCAUGCUCUAGAAAUAUAUUUGCAAACAAAUUUAAAAUAAUAAUAAUAAGAAGUAAUUGUUUAGAACCUGAUUUCGAUGGUCUCCUAAAGUUGGUGAAAAGAGCUGCAAAAUGUGGCAGACCCAAGUCCUAAAAGAUCAAUUGAUUCUGGUGCAAUCUCUAAAUAGGAUAAAGUGAUCAAAAGAAAGAGUAACAAGAUUUGGUUGUGGAAAAAAAAAUGGCUCUCCUAUGUAUGUUGAGGAGUGGGGACAACCGAGAGCCAGAUGAGGAAAGGGAAAUUGGGGAGUGAGGACAAAGGAAGUAAAUAAUAAUUGGAUGAAGUGAUAAAAAGAAAAAGUAGUUGGCUUGGGUGUGGAAGAAGAGGAGCCGGUUGUGAAGGGAAAUUGGAUACCAUAGGAGUAAAGGGAACUUGGGGAGUGGGGACCAAAAGGAAUGACUGAUAUAAUUGGUACUUGGCCCUGUUGGUGGGAAAAUGGGAACUAGAGGAGGAAAGUGAAUGAUAUAAAUUUUGUGACCCAUUUUUUCACAUUUUUCUAAAAGAAAUUAUGGGGGUACCUUUAAAAUUAUAUCAAAAUUGUAGAUAUAUUAUAGGAAUUUAAGGGGGCAGUGAGAGCCCGUGCCCCAGUGCCCCCACUUUAAAUCCGCCCCUGGUCAUAUUGCGUUAAUCCAUGGAAUGACACAAAUCAUAUAUUAGUAACUCGUUAGCGGUUGACCAUUGCCAUGUUAAUCCGAACUUGUAACACGACAAGUUUAUAUAAGUAAAAUAAAAUUCUUUUUUGAUUCCCUCCGGUAUCUAUGUAAAAUUUUUGUAGAUUCUUUCCAAAAUUUACAGUUAAACAAGGUUUAGUACCCUUCUGAAUAAUAGUAUAAGAUCCAAUGUUAAAGGCAAAGAGUUAAGAAUUUGCAUCAAAUCUUUUAGACAAAAUUAAUACGUUUUAAACACUAACUGAUCUACCUUGCAUAUCUAUUUACACCAAAUCAUUUUAAAUUCCCUCCUUAUUUUAUCUUAAAAGCAGUUUAGUUCUGCUCUCCACAGAGUACUAAUGCCAAAGUCAUAUAGUUAUUUCCACCAAAUUUAUUUGGAGCCAUUUUAAAUUUUACAGUGGAAAUAAUUUAAUUCCCUCAUAAUUGGUCGAUUGAAGCCAAGGUACUUGAAGGCAAAGUCCCUUUGGGAAUUCCGAAUUCAUACCAAAUUUUUUAGAUGAAAAUGAAUUUUUUUUAAAGAAAAUGUGGUGGGUCCCUCCCAUAUUUAUAUGCAGCAAAAUUUUUGAAUUGUCACCUAAACUUACCGUGAAAAUAAAUAAGGGAUGGGAUGUGUGGUAUCAGGGCAGAAAGUAUAAGUUAGAAGUCUCGAUUUCGAGAUCUCCAACCUACACUUAAAAAAAAAAUGUUCCUUCCUAGAUAUUGUAUUGGAGCCAAAGAUCUUAUAUUUAUUUAUACAAUUCUUUGGAGUCGCUCCUGAAUUUUCCAUGAAAAUAAUUUAGUCCUCUCCUAUCAGAACUAUAGGUUAAUGACAACAGCCCAUAAAAUGUUUAACACAAAUUUUUUUAAACAAAAUAAAAUUUUCCCUUUUUUGUUUUGAAAGAAAACCACUACAUAAGUUCCUUCCACAUUCAUUUACAGCAAUAUUUAGAAUUUUCUCCUAUCAUGAAAAUCACUAAUUAAGUUCCAUCCGACUUAAGUGGGUUUUGGUUCACAUACAAAGUGGUUUAUACUUAUUCUUACUUUUAGUAAGUCAUGAAUUUUCUUUUGAGUAAAUGUUAUCUACAUUAUUCCCAAAAAAGUUCAAAAUCUUAUUUCCAAAAAAAAAAAUCUACAUUAUGCCCCUAUCAUGCACGUGGCAAUGUUUCUAUUUAGCAUGAUAACUCAAGUUGAUGGGAGGGUUAGGAUUAUAUGUUUUAAUUAGUUAGAGGGAUAAAAUUUAUUAAUCAAGAGUUGAAGGGUUAAAAGUUGAAUUUUAUAAUAGUUUGAGGGCCACUACUAGGCAUAUUGUGUCAUUUUUGUUAAACAUGACGACUCAAAUUGAUGAAAGGAUUAGGGUUAUAUGAUUUAAUUAGUUGGGAAGCUAAAACUUAUCAAUUAAUAAUUGUAUGGUCAAAUAUUAAAUUUCGUAGCCAUUGAAAUAUUUUACCCGUUUUUGUAUGUAUAAGUGUGCAUGGUAGUCAAACCGCAGGAACUAAUUAAAGAAGAAAAAAGUUGUAAUACCAAAGCCUUAAACCAUUUUUGCCGACCUAACUUGCCUUGUGAUGGGUCGGAAAUCUUAAAGCUUUUCAGUCAAAUGGUACUUUCUAUUAUGUGCAUAACCAAUUGACAAACAAGUGACACACUCAAUUUGCAACAGGCGCCAUAGUUGAUUGAUAAUAAUAAAAAGGAAAAAGUAAUCAUUGUCAUUUUUUUUCUCUCAACUAAUCUGUCAGAUUAAAAUCCUUUUAUAAUUCUCUAUCUUCUUACUUAUUUGAAUUAAUUUUUGGGAUAAUUUCAAAAACCUCCCCUGAGGUUUCUGGUGAUUUCACUGAACUCCCUUGAGAUUUUCAAUAUUACACUUAUCUUCCCUUAAUGAUAAAUAAUGACUAUAAUAACCUUCAUAAUUUUUUAAAAGACAAGCCAUUGAUAAAAAAAAGGGAAAAGAUAUAGAAAAAAGGAAAAUAAUUCUUCUUGACUAGGGGAUAUAUUGUGUUUAUUAAAUUGUAACCUUCUAUCACUCAAAUAUACUAAUCAAGGUAGAUGUCUCCUUCCUUAUCGUCAUCCUGCAAUCACCAUCCUUACCACCUUUCUCAAAGUGUCUCUUGAAUUCCUAAUCUCCUAAAUGCUAAUUCAAAACUUAUAACUCUUUUUUAUUUUGCCACCCAACUUAUUAAAACCUUGGUAAUUCUAUUUGUAAAUUGAAAUAGAAUGGAAAUCUAAAAUUUUCACACAGAAAACCCAUUAAAAGUGGAAAUCUAAAAUUUUCACAUAGAAAACCCAUUAAAAGCCUUUACCUCACUAAUCUUAUUGUCAUUCUACUGUUGUUGAUGGUGAUGGAAGAAAUUAUCACUGCCAACAACCCAAUUGUUCAUAUCAUUGAGCACAAAAAAAGCUAUUGAAUUACGAGAAAAUAUAAUUUGAUAGAUUGUACUAAAACUACUACUCCAAACUUGCACUUUGUUGAUGUUUUUCCUAGUUCCUCUUAAUAGACAUCAAACUUGUUCUCAAUAAAAAUGUGUCAAUUCAAAGAAAAAAAUGUGGGCUGAUUUAGGAUGACCAACCCAAAUGUUGAGAGUAGAGGUUAGAAGAAUUUUGGUAAUUGAGUGCUUGGCCGUUUUAGUGGGGAAAAUGUAAGGAUUGUGAGUUUUAUGACUAAUGAUUUGGUAGACAAUAUAUGGAAGAAACCUAUAGAAAGGUAAAGAUUGUGAAGGCAAGAAUUACGACGGUGGAUUUUGGCAUCUAAGACAAAGAGUUUGUUCGGAAAAAGAAAAAGAAGUGAUAAGAGUUUGAAACUUUGGGUGGAAGUAGAAAACAGUUGUGAUGGAAACUAUCAAGACAUUGACCAAGCAAUAAAACUCAUAAUUUUGGUAGUAUACAAGUGUAUUCUUGACUUUUAAAAAAUUUUAAUGAUUAUUCAUACUAAGGAAAUUUAGAUGAAGGCAAUUUUGGGCAUUCAUAUGCUUUUUUGGUCUUACAUCAUCAAGGUGAAUUCCAAACCCAUGUUCUAGGGGAGGUAUGUGUAAUUUUCAAAAUGUGAGAGUAGCUAUUUGAAUUUACUAGAAACCUCAAGGGAGGCUUCUGAAACUAUCCCUUAAUUUUUUAAGCAUACAUGUUAAUCCACCCAGCUUGGUACAUAUUACCAUUUAUGUACUGAUAAUUUGGCUCAUUUUUACAAGAAAGUUUCUCUAAUUUGUUUAGAAUAAAUAGAUAAUUUUAAUCUUGACUUAAACCGUUUUGUUCAAUGAAGUAAACAAACAUAUGAAAAUCGUUGUUGAGUACUCUUCAUGCAUUAAUGCAUGAGUAAAAUCUAGUUUCUUAAUGUGCAAUUUAAUACCCAUCGAUCAUUGAUUAGAGAGUAUAUUGCUUGGUCUUUUAAUUGUCACUACUGGUUCUAGUCAGUAAAAUUCAAAAUCGAAUAUUUUUGGUGUCGUGUAGUUUUUCUUACUCUUAAAAAAAAUUAUGUGUACUUAUUGACUAAAUAUAUAACGCACUUGUAACUUUUCAUGAUUAAUACUCCUAUUUUGUCAAAAUUUAAAGUAAACAGACCAGUCAUUUGCAGCUCCAAAAAUCAUAUUUGAGAACAUUUGGAGAAAGCGUCAAAGAGGCUCAUAAUUGUUGCUUUUACUGUGAUUGCUUCAUUUGGGUGUCUCGCUCAUGCACACACUAACAAGUAAACAGACCGGAUGUAGAUAAGGUCACAAUUUUCAUGCGAAUAUAUAGUUAUUGUACUUCUUACAUAAUUCGGUGCAGUAUUAUAUAAUUUUGUUAUAUGCGUAAAUUUUAUUUGCACAUAUCAACUCAAUAGGUAAAUAUAACUUGGUCUGUAAGCGUGUACACCAAAUUUUAAAAGAAGUAUAAGAACUAUAUAGAAUUGCGCCUAAUCCCAUUGUACCUACGCUAUUUCUCAAAUAAACAAACUAUUAAGACCCCAGCACCAUUGUGUUUACUAUGAAUUUAUUCUCAAUUUGCUAAUUCUUAUACCUUGUUUUUAAUUUACCAAAUCGUUGCUAGCUGUCGAAAAGCAUAGUGUGAUUGACAUUAAUAUUCCUCAUGAUUUUAAAGGACAUCAAUCUCGGAAUGACAUAUCUGGUUGAGGUACAACAAUAUUGCAGGUGGAAGAAGAAGCUGAACCAUUAAUAUUGACGUUAUUGGAGUCUCUUUUAGUUUUACCUAAUAAUGUUGGAGAAAAGUGCCCUUUACCAUUGAAUAACAUUAUAGAUUAAUUUGGUCUUUAAAAGUCAUAGUUAAAUUAAAAUUUCCAAGUUUAGUCCUUUAAAAUAAAGAGGGUAAGCCCAUCUUAAAAAUAAAUGCAGAGAUUGCUCAAAGGGUAAAAAACAAAAACCAUCCAUGAUAAAUCUAAUAUAUAGCAAAACCUCCUGUAGUUUCAAAACGUAUAACACGGCAUCCCAUACUUUGAACUAAAUUAUAAAAGGUAACAGAAUCUGUUAAAAUUAAGAGAAAUUGUAAUUCCUGAGUCUAUAGCAUAGGGUAUUUCUAGCCCUAAUUUUCAGACACUUUCCAGAAUCUUUAAAAUCAAAGCCACAUAAGUAAAGAUUGAUAUAAAGUUUUAUAUACAUAUUUGUAACAUUCAAAUUUACCGUGCUUGUGAUACUACUAAGAUUGAUGGUAAUCAUAACUGCCUUAACAUUUGAUAUUAUUAAGUAUUAGUUGCAAAUUGAGGAAUUAGAGGUUAUGAAUUCAAAUCCCUCUACCCCUCAUUUCUUGAGUUUCAUUCCUCUCACACUGAAAAAAAAUUAAAAGAGAACGGUUCUUCUGUACCAUUUAAUACCAGAUUAAAAAAAUUAGAUUUUUCGGUAUCCUAUGCAAAAAUAAUGAAUAAUUAACUUGCUUUUCAAAAUUACUAUGCAUGUAUAUUGCGGAGGAAAUUUAAUAAGAUGUUACGUAUUUAAGAAGUCCAUCCCAGGCAAGUCUGUAAUUGCUAUCCUUGCUGUCCAGAGGAACCACCCUCUCAUCCAACCAAAAUAUGCUCCAUUUUGGCCAAUCCACUGAUUCCUUGUAAGGGGCCCGAGCUAGAUACCUGUUGUAUUGGUAUUAAAAUUAAUCAGGCAAUCAAUAUGUAAAAACUGUACUCUAUUAAACACGAAAGAAGGUAACAUUACUUUCUUGCUUGCAUGCUUUGACAGAUUUAAAUUAUUCUUUCGUACUGGUUGAUUUACCUCAUAGUGUCCAUGAGACUGCCUCCUGAGAGGACCACAUUGAAAGAACCUUUUUCUUUGAUAAAUCUUUCGGAGAGAUCGGCAAUGUAUCUGGCCAGGGCCACUGCGACACCAUUCUCGGUGUCGAAUUUUAGGACGGUCCUGUUUCCGAUUUCACAAGCCAUCUCUGCUGCCCUUGAUCCGAGACUUUUAGUUGUUUUAGCUUAUUGAAAAGUGGAUUAGGCUUGCAACUUGCUGCUCAUUGUAGAGAUUUGAGCGGGAUGGGACGUACUUAUAACAGCAAAAUUUUCGGAUCACCAGCCUAAAUUUUUCCACAUGGGAAAUGAAGGAAAGAAAGCUCUGCAAGUAAAGAGUUAUCAGUAGCAGCCAUUAUUUGACUUAGAUUUUUCUACAUGGAAAAGUGAAGGAGAGAAAUCUUUGCACUUAUAUAGUUAUCAGUUGCCGCCACAUGUGAUUUGUUCUAGGGUUAAUUCCACUUUGUCCCCCCAAAUUUUGGACGAUUACCCACUUCAGUCCCUAAACUUCAACAUGGGACACUUAAGUUCCUAAACUUAUAAAUACCUCCUACUUAAGUCCCUAAACUUAUAAAAUGAGACAUUUAAAUCCCUAAACCCUUAUAAAAUGGGACACUUCGACCACCAACGGCAUUCAGGAUUUGUUAACAAUUUUCCUUAAGUGGGAGAUAUUUAUAAGUUUAGGGACUUAAGUGUCCCAUUUUGAAGUUUAAGGAUUGAAGUGGGUAAUCGUCCAAAGUUUGGGAUGAUAAAGUGGUAUUAACCCUUUGUUCAAUUACGAUUAUAUACCGUUAUGCUGCCACACACCAGUGAGCAUUAUUUUUGUUGUUUCGUUGUCAUAUACGCUACCGUCUCUGUCACGCCAUAGUUCGGAUGUGCCAAUCACGCAACAUUUGCCGUAUUCUCAACUUUCGCUCAAGAAUACAAGGCAAUAUUAAAUUAGACUAAAACUUAGAAGGUAUUAAAUAGCAUAACUAAAUAUAGUGCGGUACAAAUCUUAAAUGGAAAGUAGAUUACAAGUGUCCAAUAAGUUCAUGCAUUAAUUUUUUAGAUGAGACAACGGGAAAAAAAUUAAAUAAAACUAACAGCCAAAAGCAGUUAGACUACUAAUUUCUAUCCAUUUAGACCUAAUAAAAAUCAUUCUUAGGUCUUUAAUGUAAACCAACUCAUACUCUUCAGAAUCUGCAAAAGUGAUAAAAAUUGGGAUGACCGAUAAGUCGUUAAUAGGUAGUGCCUACCCCUCUGUUGGACCAUGCAAUCAUACCUUUACAUAUACAUACAUACAUACACAUAUAUACAUAUAUAUAUGUCAAAUUAUUUGCACACCAUUCACAUGUAUAAUUAUUAAAAAUAACGUUCUUCGUAAAACAGUCAGUAAUAAUGAGUGACACAAUAAUUUGUAAACAUCUUUUUCAUAACCAUACAUGAAAACCAUAGAGUUAUAAAUCAUUUCAUAUCAACUCAAAACAAGUACAUGCAAUGAUCGGCUUCUGGGUACUCAAUUUAGAUAUUAAACUCUUCUAAGUGAGUGACCAAUAGAUUUCAUGACUACCGAUUGGUCUCAUUAUAUAUACGUCAAUCAGCCGAGUUCUAUACCGAACUAUCACGACCUUAUCAAUCGGCCAAACUCUAUGCCAGGCUACUAUGACCAUUAGAUAGGAUUAUAAUCCCUACCGUCUAUUCCAUGACUGUUUUGAACUUUACUUAAUAUAAAUUCAUUUCACACGUCACAUACAUAGUUCUUUGAUUUUACAAAAGAUACCACUCAUUUUGCAUAUAAUAACAUAUCAAAAUACUUCAAAUAAUUCACAUGAUCCAUCUUUAUAUAGCAAAAAUAGAACUUGCACAAAUACUCAAGUAAAUCAUUUAAUCAAGUAAAUUUCAAAUUGACACAUCAAAAUAAGAUUAGUAAUAAAAAUUUCGCUUUGAUUUUUUGAAAUCCCAAAAGAGUAAGUACCAUCUACCUUUGUCUGGCUAUUCGAGUGGGACUACUUUAAAUUUUUUAAACUUGUGUCGUACCUAUCAAAUGCAUAGGUAUUCUAAUUAGUUGAUAUUUCUUAUAGAUAUAUAAAUAUACAAAACUCUAAGCAACUAUAAGAUUCAUGUCUAGAUCAUUAUCUGAAGCCUAGAAGAGUUUCCUAAAUUGGAAAGUUUCUAUUUUUGGAAAGUUUCCUAAAUUGAAAAGUUUCUAUUUUUGGAAAGUUCCUUUUUUGCUUAUGUAAAGUUUCCAAACUCAUAAAUAAUUGUUUAUAAUCAUAUUUAUUAUCUUGACUAUUAUUUUUUAUAUAUUUUAAUAUUUUUUUUGUUAGUAUUGUUAUUGUCUUUAUCAACACUAUUUUAUUUUAUUUUCAUUCAUACAUUUAUAUAUAUAUAUAUAUAUAUUGGUUAAUUAGUUAUUAUUAUCUUUUGUUCUAUUUCAAUUUUUGCACCUGUAUAUGUAUUAUUAUUAUUAUUAUUCAUGUAUAUACAAAUGUGUAUUUAUUUACCAUUACAAUUAUUAUCUUGCCUAUUCCACUUGUAUUUAUAUUUUUAUUUUCGUUUAUAUCCUUAAUUUAUUUCAUCCAUAUUUAUAUCAUCAUCAUCAUUUUAAGCAUUUGUUUAAAAAUCUAAAACUUAUCUUACGUUGUAUAAAUUAAUCUAAUAAUGUUAGAUUAAAAUGUCUUAGAUUUCUACUUAAACAUCUUUAACUUAAUUAAUUAAGCAUAAGCCUGAAGAACUAAAUCUUUAAAGCCCAAAAUUAUUUUAGAUUAGUUUUUGAAGUUUAAUACCCAUGAUAAUCCAUAAAAAUGGGUUGGUUAUAUCUAAAAUUUAUCUAUUCAACAUUCACUAAACCCAUACUAUAUUUUUGGUCCAAGUAGACUUGCCAUUUUUUUUCGGAUUUGAAUAAUAACAGCCCAAGUUCCGUGUGCCCAAGCAUUUCCUUAUUUCUCCUAUUCCUAGCCCGAUUCCCCUUCACACUUGGCCCAGCAUCCAACUCAACUAGCCCACACAUACCCAACUACAUCUUGACCCAAACCAUUUCCUUCCAGAUCCAACCAAUAAGACCGACCCGAUUCAUUAACCCAUCAAUUAGCAGGUCAUCUUCUUCCCCAUUUUUUUCCCUAACAGAAUUUUUUUCCCCCUUUGGCCGGCCUUCAUGCCUGACUUGGUAUAAGAGGAGGGUCUUGCUCUCUUUUUUUUUCCUUCUUGUUGCAUUGCUGAAGAAGCUUCAGCAACGAUGCAACUCUUCUUCUUUUUUUUUUUUUUAAACUUUCCAUAGAAAUGGGUUUAGACUCUAUUUCAUCCCAUAGUAUAAAAUUUAACACACUAUUCCUACUAAUCCUAACAAGAAUCUUCCUAAAUUUCUCAUAAAGGCAUAUACAUAUCAUAAUAAAUACAUAUACAUAAAAUCUUUAAAAUAAUUCAUGAAAUUAAUAAGACUUAUAAGAAAAAGUUUUAACAUGCGUUUAAAAGUUACAGGUCUAGAUGCUUAGUUCCCUGCUUAUUCAACGGCAACAUCUUCUUCUUCUUCUCUAUUCUCAGAUGGUUCUUGUUCUAAGGGAAGACAGAUAAUGAGAAUUAGGAACGAUGUUAUUUCUUUUAAUUGUUUUGAUAAGUGUUUUAAAUUCCUCAUAACCAUCCAUUACAUGAUAGUUACGUGGGUUAAGGAUUUUAGUUUAUCCUAUUUUAUCUCCUCCUUAACCCCCAAUUACCUUUUAACAUUCUCUACCAAUUUUUUUUACUUUUUACCCAUAGAAAAUUACCACUUAAUUAAUGAGCAAAAAUAAAAAUUGAAUAUAACAAUAAAAAAAUGUGGGUGUUACAGUCUCCCAUAGUGAAAGAACCUUUCUCUUUAUUGAGAGAGAUCACCAAUAUUUGCAAUAUACUUGUUUUAAAACAAAACUUUCCUAAAGUGUAUAUACUUGUGUUUUUUUUUUCAGUUAAUCAACAACAUCUAUACACUACUCUCACUCUAAUAUUCAAACAGAGGUCUAGCUAGGUCACGAAGAGUUGGAAGGAAAAAAAACCCAUCUCCGGACGAAAAGGAUGCAUUAUUGUACACCUUUUGAUCAAUUUAAUUACAAGUGCAAAGAUUUGAACUCUUGACAUGCAAGUAGAACUACAUUAUAUGCUUUUUAUUACAAUAGAGCUCAAAACAGGAGAGGCAUAUGAAAUUCAAAACCUAAGGGGCUGCAAGUGAAUUAUCAAUAACCACAGGGGAGAUUACCAAAAUUAUCCCUCUUUUAAGUAAGUUGUUUUUAUUUUAUUUUUAUUUUCUCCUCUUUUAAGUAAGAUAUCCGGUCCGGUUCUGAAAACAUAGGUUAACACACAGGUAUCGUGAUUAGUACCACUUCUUCCUUAUUCAGUCCGUAUAUAUGUUUAAUUGGAGAUAGGGGUUACUUUUAGUUGAUGUAACCCACCUACUUAUUAAAUGUAAUGCUAGCUCGUUGCUUUGUCAUCAAGUUUUUUUUUUUUUUUUAAUUUUUUUGUCCUAAAAUUAUGAUGGUAAGAUUCAUUAGAUUAUAGAUAAAGUUUACUCUUAAAUAUCUCUAAUUAAAGUAAUAACAAAAAAGGGCAUUGUUAAUACAGUUAGACUAACAUAUACUAUACCGCUUCUAUAUGAGAAGUAGUAGAUCUCAUCUAUUGUGAUGUGUGAAACAUCUAAACUAGUAUAUGUGUGCUUGAUAGGAUGAUUAAGUUCACUAAAUUGAUCCGCAUAAAGACAUCCUUUAAGUGCAAAAAAAAAAAUCUCUAAGUGACAUUUAUGUAGGUGAUCUUUAGAAUUAAAGUUAUCAUAAUAUCUUGAGUACCGACAGUUAUACUUUAUUUGUUAUAUGAUUGCUCCUGUAACAGGUAAUGCUCACAACAUUAGCAAAUUGUUAUAUACAUAAAGUAUAGAAAGAUGAUAAAUAACCUAGAAGGAUUUAACAACUCUUAUGGAAUAGGAGUUAUCUCAUGUCUGGUCACUUGUAGAAGUAUAACUUAGAAUUCUUAUCGCUAAAUGGAAGAGUUUUAGAAAGUGUUUAUAAAUAUUUCUUCAUUGGAGUUAUAUUUGUAUACUAGAAAUGAACAUUAAUCACAUAUUGGAAUAGGCACGACUUAUUCCAAGAUUAAUGUGAGAUAAAUGUGAUAAAAGGAUAUUAAUUACACGAUAAAUAUUCACUAAAAGACGAAAUCAUCCACUUCACUUUUUUCAUUAUUUGGAUGGUCAAGCUACAUUGUUAGAUGGUGUGAGAACCCGUAAAACCCUAAUAUUUUUCCUAGGGUUUAUUACCCCUUAAUUGCAUGUUUUCUGCAUUUUCUGGUUUAGAAAUAUUUUCUUAGUGGAUUUUAUGAGCAGUUAUAGUUUUAAGAUGAUUUUUCUAGUAUUGGUGAAAUUUUAGAAAAUUAAGAAUAUAUAUUGGAUGUGGGACCCACUAGUGCGAAAAGUUCGGAAAAAUUCGGCCAAUAAGGUUAAGUUUCGGAUACUGUGUAAAAUUUAUCGGGUGUUAAGAGAUAAGUAGUGUGUGUGAAGUGAUUGAUGUGAGAGAGAAAAGAAAGAUAGGAAUGCAUUUAAUGAGUGUGACAAGUGUCACAAUCUCAUUGGUUGGACUUUAAGAAUUACUAUUCACUUUCUUGACUUUUUUGACCAAAUGAUUAAAUAUCAAAAAUUCACAAAAUUUCCUCAUUUUUCUUUCUCCUUGGCCGGCUCUCUCUCACUCUUUUGUAAGAAGAAAAACUCUUCAAUCUUCAAGCUUUCUACUAGCAAAUCAUCUAAAUCAACCAAAUAAACAAGAUUCCACUCCAUAAAAUCCUAUCUUCUAGUGCUAGUAAGGGUUGUAGUGAAGUUGUUUUGAAGAGCAAAGGUGUCCACAAUCUCUCUUUCCCUUGUUUCUUGGUAAGUGAUGCUACAACCUCUCCCCUAAACCUAAUGAUGGUUAUAUUAUGCUAAAUGGUGGCAUGAGUGAAGGAAUAUAUGAUUUAUUUCUUGAUUUGAAGAAUUUUGGUGAAUUUUUUAUUUUAUUGGGAAUUUUUCUGGUUUAAUAUGAAUGGGAUGUUGUGGCCUUGUAUGAUGAAUGGUAAUGGCUGAUAAUGGCUCUAUGAGGUGUAUUGGAUAAGAAAAUGUAAUCAAUUUUGGAUUUGGAUGGAAAAUGAAAAGUUAGGGUUCAUAUUUUUCCCAAUUCUGUCCGGUUUUAGAUCAUAGGGUUAGAGGCCGAAUUGGACUUUGCUCAAAACAUGAAAGUUGUAGGUAUUGAUGAGUAGGAGGUGCCUGCAAAAUUUCAGGGCAUUUGGAUGAGUGUAGAGUGAGUUAUGACGAAAUUACUGUAGCUGUUCUGCUUUGGUCAGAAUGCGAAAACUGCGAUAGUAAUUAGCCUUUUUGACUGGAAUCACUUUGGAUUUUGAUGUUGGUGUCUUCUGAUGAAAUGUUACUGGAUGUCUUAGCUAUCAUAUGCCUUUGGAAUUUUGGCAUUUGGACUUGUAUAGACUGAGUUAUAGUAAUUACAGUUUUGUGUGAUUUGCAAACCUGUUUUGGUAAUUCUGGUAUAGUAUUUGGCAUUUUCGAACUAGUUAAGCUAGGAACUGUAUUGAGUGACCUUCUACAUUGUAGUAGCCCUGUUUCAUAGCUUCGAAACGGUGGGUCUUACACCCCCAUCCGAUAACCGUAGAGAAUUUUACACCAUUACCGCAUAAUAAGGGCAAAACAGUUUUCUAUUUGGGGCCAAGACUAAGGCCAUUUUCUAAUUUCUGGUUUGCUAUUAUGCUCAUUUAUGCAUAUGAAACCCUAUUGGGGUUGUGUUUAGCAUUGCUAUAUGACUCGUUAUCGAGUCUCUUUUAGGGCUUGCUUUCAUUUCGGUUGUUUCCUAGUUAACUUUUGUACUUGUACCACUUUGAGCCUAGUGAACGGCUUUUGGGAAAUGAGAUGAAUUUUGUGUGAGAUGUUGGGACUGAUUUGAGGAUAGAAUGAAGCCUUAAUGGCUGGAAAAGUAAGAAAUUUAGGGGAAGUGCUGCCCGAUUUUCUAGGCCGUUUGGUUCCUUUAAGUUGGGUUUGCCUUUUGGUAGAAUGAAAGGCUUUUGGGUUGUUUGCGCCUAGGUCUUCAUGCUACCUUUUCGUUUCCAAGAAAAUCAUGUUUUGCACCCUUGCAUUAGUAAUUAUUUGGCGAGGCAUACGACUAGUAGUCGAGCCUCACAUGUGCAUUCUGUUUACUCGAUUCUGGAAGUAAAACCUUCAAUUGGUUUAUUUUGAUUAUUUUAGGGUUUCUUGGCGAUUAAGGCCAAUCUGAAGUGAAACUUUUGAAGUUGAGCCGGUGAGUGUACCACUCCCCUCCAUUGCUGUUUAACUUGAUUUCUGCUCUGCAAUCUGUUUAUUUGUUCGAGACGGGGGUGUACUUUAUCACACUCGUUCUCUAGUCUGUUCAUAUGCCAAUUUACUAUGCAAAAUUUGAAUCUGUUAUCUGUGUCUGCAUCUGUUCGGAUUUCUAUGACCUAUGAGCUCAAUCCUGUGUGCUAAGUUAUUCGAGUCGGGCCGGCAAGGGUCUGGACGAUUAGAUAACGAACCACGGUAGUCUGUUCGGGGAUUUUUGGGUAUUGAGACCCUUGAUUCCGGUAUACUCGAGUAUUACCAUUUCUGUUCGGUUACGGUGAGCGGGCCCGGUAAAGGGGUGUUUGGUGGACGGAAUUCGGUGUAAAGAGGGGUCUACGGACGUUUUGGUUCUAUAUACGUUGACGGAGAGUCAACCGGUUUGGAUCAAGUACUGCGCUGGAAAUUUGGCUCCUGAGAGCCACCCGUAUCCUUCUGAUUUGAAUCAUUGGUUCCUUUGCUUUACAUCUGGCAUGUGUAUCUGAUUUGUUAAAUGUGAAAUGCCAUGAUUUUCUGCUAUAGUUUGUACCUCAUUGAGCGCUCCCCCCUGUUCCUUUUGUUUUCCUUACAGGAAAAUAAACCCUUUUGGUCUGGAUUUGACAAAUGGCUGCCAAAUUGAGCUAGUCGAACAUAUCUUUUGUAUAGCUCAUGUAUUAAAACCCUAAGUGUACUUUUGGGGCGUUUUCUCUUUUGAUUUGGCAAACCAUGUGUAUAUAUUAACUUUUGAAAACUUUUGUAUGUCAUGUUGAUUUGUAAACGCUAAAGUUCAGAUGUGAAUGUUUGUUAGCUAUUUCGGUUGGCACCGACGGGUCGGUUACUAUUCAUGGCCGGCUCCGGGUUUCAUUUUUUUUUAUUUUGGGUUAUUUUACCAUUUUGACUUGUUUACGCUCGUUUGUAAGUUCCGAAUCGCUAUAGAUAGUUUUGGUCUGCAUCGUUAGUCCUGGCGAGAGUUGGGCAGGCAGUCCGCUCACCCCUUUGGUUCGCCUUAGGAGAAAGUGGGACUGUUACAGAUGGCAGUGUUGAUCUAAAAAAAUGAGGUACAUCAUUCCAGCCCGUACCCUUGUCCCUCAAAUUGACGCUAACAUCACCGUACCCACACGUAAGUGACUAUUCUUACCAUGUGUCGUAGAAUUUUGGGACCAAUCCAUCCUAAAUAUUGUAUUUCCAAGGAAUUGUGGGACUAGUCUAUCCUAAUUAAAUUAUUGUGCUUCCUGGUCCAUUUAAAUUAUUGUGCCUCAACCGAAAUUUUGGACCAGUCCUUCGUGAAUUUUUGGAAGCCAGUCCCUCCUAUGAGUUCCGGGUUUGAGUAGAAUGUCCAUGCAAAAUUAGUCACGUGUUAAUUUCCUCAAUUUGUCGAUUAAUGCUACUCUCUACCUUUUAUUGUAGUGAUGGUUGCUAAAGUAAUACAUUUGACUUUUUUGAGGAUGGCAAUAAUCAAGGUAUAUCUAUAGGAGGAGCUAAAUUCUUAGUACUCACUUGAAACAAAAAUUCAUGGUACUCCUCCCUCUUGUAUUCAGACAUUCGAUAUGGUGAAAACUUGCAUCUAGUACUGAAAAUUGCACAAGGUCUAGAUUAGAAUUGAAAGAGUAAAUUUUAUUAAAAAGUAUGAUGUUAAUAUUUUAAUAUUCAAUAGGAGAUUAUUUGAAAUAUUAUUUAAAAUACUUGUUAUAGUACAUUUUGUGAUAUGUAUAAUAAAAAUAUGUAUGUGAGAUAAAAAAAUUAUUGAAGAGAUAAAAAUAUGUUUUGAAAAAUGUAUUUAUUAUACAAGCGAACACCUUUUUUUAGCAAAUAAUGCCUAUCCACACACACCCCCACAUUGGUUUUUCUUUUUCUUUUCUUUAUUAUAAUUAUUGUUCUUAGUUUUUAUGAGCAAGUGGUUUUUCUUUUUCUUUUUUUUCCCCUUCCUCUCUUUUGGGAACAAUGGACAUAAAGUUUUACAUGCACAAGAGAUCGAUUUCCAAUUGAUUUUCAAAAGUUUAUAUAAUGAGCUUGUGAACAAAAGAUGCUAUUCCCAGUAGGACCUACAAAUUUUUAAAAAAAAUUGUUGUUCGCAUUCUAUAUUUCAACUUGAGGACUGGGGACGGGACCAUCAAACGCAUACAGAAGAUCUCUAGCCAGUCAUUAAGGACCAAAGAAGCUGAUAGGUUUUACUUGUGAUUGCUUCUCUCUCUCUCUCUCUCAAUCUCAAAAGCAUGCACACACAAAUACAUUAGGAGAUGAACAAACAAUAACACGAGACCCUAAUCAUUAUUAAGUUUAAUCUUAUUUAUUCUUCAAUUGUUUUUUUAUCUUAAAUAAAGUUAGUAUAUAGUGACAGUGUAUACACAAGUAAAGCGAGUUAAAUGAUAAUUAAUUACAAUUUAAACUUCAAUUAUGUUUUACACUGAUACAUGCACGGUUAGACUACACAUUUGGGACCAAAAUUUAAAUUUCUGGCAUCACACCACAUCACAUCAUCAUUUUUUCGUCCCACUCUUCUCGUGGAAGGAAAAAUAAAAAUGAAAUUAUUGCUAUCAUAUAGGUUCGAACCUUAACCACAAAAUGAUAGAUUUGUUGCCGACAGUUUUGCAUGAGUUUAAAAUCACUUUGCCAUAUUGUCUUGCCGGUUCCACCAACACAUUGCUUUAUAUGUUAAUGAUAUAUUCACAUAUCAUUAAUAUAAUGUGCUUUAUCUUUUGGAAAUAAAGGUAUCUCUAGCUAUCUCGGACGAAAAAUAAUCCAUCAUAAGGCAUGCCAUCCUUGUCAUCCAGAGGAACGCCCUCUCAUCCAACGAAAAUAAACUCCAUUUUGGCUGGUGCAACUUUGUUCGGCUAGGAGAUUAUUUGGGAUAAUUUUCUUUUAAAAAAAUAGUGUAGCACUUUCCAAUUCCAACAAAAAUGUACUCCAUUUUGGCCAAUGUGACUGUGUUUCGAUAGGAGACUAUUUGGGAUAAUUUUUUUAAAAAAAUAGUGAAGCCCCUUUUUUAUAUGAUGUAUGUGAAAUAAAAAAGUGAUUAAAAAUAUGUUUAUAAUGUAAAUAAAUUUGUGUAAAUAAUUUGCCAUCCAAUUGAAUUCCUUGUGAGGACCCGAGUUAGAUAUGUUUCCAUAUCAACAUUAAUCAGGCAAUCAAUGCAUAAAAACUAGAGAAAAAUCGAAUCGAGUCAAGAACGAGUCUCGCUAUACUCAAGCUUGACUCAACAAUAGAGAGGUAUUGCUCAAGUUCGAGUGAGCAGCAAAAAUGGAGUUUGAAUUCGAACUCAAAAAAUAGUUCGAAAAACUCGAGAUCGACUCGAUUAUGCUCAAUUUUCUUGUGAAUGUGAUAAACCUUGAGUACUUGACUCGACUAAAAGAGAAAUUUUCAAAAUUUAUAUAACUCCGAAGCCUAAAAGAGUAAAAUUAUAAUAACUAAAUAUAUAAUUUUUAAUUGAUUACUUUGUAUUCGAUAAGACUCGACGAGUCACCGAGUUUGAAAAAAUAAUACUCGAACUCGACUUGAAUAAUUAUCAAACUACUCGUACUCGAGUGCGAGUCCAGCUUUUGACCGAGCUUCUCGCGAGCUGGCAACGAGCUACUCGCAAGUUCACGAGGAGUUCGGUUCGAUUACAUCUCUAAUAAAAACCGAACCAUCAUGCCGUACAGCAUUGAACACAUAAAAUGACAACAUUAAUUUCUUUUUUUUUUUGGGUAGGUGACAACAUUAAUUUCUUGCUUGCAUGCUUUGCUAGAUUUUCAAUGACUCUUCCAUAUUGUUGAUUGUAUACCACAUAUAUAUAGUAUCGAUAAGGGUACCUCAUGAGGGGACCACAGUGAAAGAACCUUUUUCUUUGUUAAAUCCAUCAACUGUUGCAAAUUUCUAUUGAUGGUUUUUUAAUCUUGCAUGUAAAAAUCUAUAACAAAAGUAGUAUUUGUCGUUCGUGAAUUAGUCUGCAAAUUUUUUUUAAGAGUGCCCCCUUAAUUCUACUAUUUUUACCUGUCUUACCCAGCAAAUCUCAAAUUCUGGUUUCACCAAUGCCCACAAACACAUUAAAGAGGCACGGACAUGUUGACUUGGGUGUUCAAUAACUAUUGAGACCUAAACAUCAUUAUUAGGCUUGAUUUUAUUUAAUCUUAAAUUGCUAAAUCUUAUCAAAUUUUACUCAUAACAACUCCUUACUUUUGAAAAUUUUGUGUGAAGACUUCAAUAACUAUUAAGACCUAAUCUUAGUUGAUGUAGCUCAUCUACUUAUAUUCUUGUGUGCAUGGAAACCAAACCAUUGGAACUACAUUAUUCCGAUAUAUUUACUCACAGAAAAGUGUGGUAGAGUACGUAUUUACUCAUAGUCAAAAAUUUUGAAACCAUCACAAAACCUGACUAGGAUUGACGCAGAGGUUUUCGUCUUAAUUAGUACCACUUGUUUCUUGUUCAGAAUGGUUGAUAUAUACUGCGAAGCAUCAACUACGAAUUUAUAAUUAUUGAAAGUGCAGAAAGGAAGCGUACACACUUUUCUGCCCUAUAUAUACCGCUCUGUGAACUGAGACUGGAACCAUCAGACUUGCCUAGGAGAUCUCUAGCCAGUCAUUUGUAGCUCUAAAAUUCAGCAUUGAGAAGAAAUGGAGAAAGCAUCAAAAAAGCUGAUACUAUUUGCUUUCUUUGUGAUUGCUUCAUGUAAGUCUUUCCCUCAUGCAUGCACACACAAAUUAAAGAAAAAUGCUUCCACAUCCCAUAAAAGUUAAGGUUUCUUACAUAUAUAUAUUUGUAAAAUGCAGAAUUUGCCUCUCCUAAAAUUUUAGAAAUCAUUUUAUGUUCCACUGAAAUUCUAAAAGUUCUCAAUUAUAUUCAAUUAUGUACGUAGAUGUUAGACUUCCUCACCGAGCUUUUUGCAUAUCUCAACUUCUGGUUCACCCAUGGCACACAAACACGCUAAAACAAGCACAGACACGUUGACAUGGGACUUCAGUAACUAUUGAGGCCUAAUGAUCAUUAUUAAGUUUAAUCUUGUUUAAUCUUAAAUUGCUAAAUCUUAUCAAAAUUUUAAAAUUUUAGUGUGAAGACAUAGAAACUGCUCAUGAUCUACAGGGACAUUAAGCAUUCGAAAUAACUUGAGAUGCAAUGAAAAACGAACAACCCAUAAACUAUUUGACGAGUUAACCAAUAUGAUUGGUGUAGUUUUAAACUAUAAACUGUUGAGCUGAACUUGCAAAAUUCAUUUGCAGUGGUCACAGGGGGGCCAAUAGCAAAGGUGGAAGCCUCAAGAGUCCAACCAGCUGAGGCUGAAGCUGAAGCUGAAGCAGAAGCUAUAGCUGAACAAUUGAUAACAACUCUGGAGUCAACUUUAACUGAUGCUGGAGGAAUUUGCCCUUCCCGAUGCUAUAUUGAUAGGCAGUGUCAAACCCGACUUUGUCGCAAGACGAGUUGUGAACAUGUCGACUACAGUGCCAUCAAACAGUGUGUCUAGUUUCUCCAUAAUUAUCACUUGAUUUCAUCUCUUGUGGAACCAAGGGAUUUGUGGGGCGCCUUCAAUAAUUUGGACUUGAGUGUCAUGUAUUAAGCGCCGAUAUGUAUUUUUCUUGAUGUUGUUCACUUUACUCUUUUGCUUGUACUUGUCUUUCACAGUACAAUGUCACAACGGAUCUUCUGUCCCACACCUUAUGCCACUCUCUGUGCCACUUUUUACUAUAUUGCUAUUUCUCCUUCAUAAAUAUCAUGUUUUAAUUUAGUUCUUUUUUGUUUCCUUAAGAUCCAAUAACUAUUAAUUCAGUAAUACACAAAAUUUAACAAACUCAAAAAAUCAAAAUGCAUAAAAAAUGAGAUUUUUUCUAAAUUUUCUGCUGUAUUUUUUAAUUUUCUAUUAUAUAUUACUUUUUUGAAACUGUUGUAUUUAUUUUUUACUGAAUUAAUAGUUAUUGAAUCUUAAGAAAACAAAAAAGAACUAAAACAUGAUAUUUAUAAAGGAGAAAUAGCAAUAUAGUAAAAAGUGGUACAGAGAAUGACACAGGAUGUGAGACAGAAGAUCCGUUGCGGUACAAUGUACGUUUGAUUUGGGUCAUCCUUUAAUAAAGUCGAUUGUUAUCUAUAUUGGCCUUUAUUUGGUACAUGGCCUUGAAUCUUUAUUUUGGUCAUUUAAUCUGGUCUUUGGAAGUUACUGUUAGAUUAAACAUUUUAAGUUUGUGGAUCAAUGAAGAACUUCAUCUUUGUACUGAACUUAGUACUAAUUUUUAUUUAUUUAUUUAUUUAUUAUUUUUGACAAAAAAGAGUUUAUACCUUUUGAUAACUUGAAAGUUUUUUAUUAUAGGAGGAACGUCUUACCUACCAACUAAGCUGUAUUUUAAUAAGGGUUAAUACCACUUUGUCCCCUCAAACUUUGGACGAUUAUCCACCGUAAUCCCUAAACUUCAAAAUGGGACACUUAAGUCUCUAAACUUAUAAAUAUCUCCCACUUAAGGAAAAUUAUUAACAAAUCUGGAAUGUCGUUGGUGGUCGAAGUGUCCCAUUUUAUAAAGGUUUAGAGAUUUAAGUGUCCUAUUUUAUAAGUUUAGGGACUUAAGUGAGAGGUAUUUAUAAGUUUAGGGACUUAAGUGUCCCAUUUUGAAGUUUAAGAAUUGAAGUAAGUAAUGGUCCAAAGUUUGGGGGAACAAAGUGAAAUUAACCCUUUUAAUAACUUGGUCAAUGUAGGUAGAAUUUAGUAUUGAAAAUUGGAUGUUUUCCAAGGGAUAAUUAAAGUUUAGGUGUCUUUUCAUUGUUACUUAAUACAAUUCUUAACCGUAGCUCUUGGAAACAUUGAUAUUAUCACGUUUGGAGGCUUAGGCACACGUGAUAACUUUUGAACAAAGAAAUGCAAUUUGUAUUCCCCAACGUUUGUUUUAUCCCCCGUUGCUCCCUAAUUAAACAGAUCAAGUACCUCGUAAAAAUCGAAUACCCAUCGAUCAUUGAUUAGAGAAUAUUGCUUGGUCUUUUAAUUGUCACUACUAGUUCUAGUUAGUAAAAUUCAAAAUAGAAUAUUUUUUGGUGUCGCAUAGUUUUCCUUACUCUUAAAAAAAAAGGUUAAUUACAUUUACCUCCCUUGAGAUUUGAUCAAAUAACGAAUCGAUCCCUGAGAUUUGGACAAAUAACAAAUUACUCUCCCACGUUAAGUUUGUCAGUUAUAUGGAACGGAAAUAGCCAAAAGUCAGAACAACCCUUAUUGAUUUCCAUCAAAUUUUAAAGACAUAAAAAUAGAAAUAUGUACUUACCAUUUUAGCCUUUAGACGGGAAACAAUAUAGACAGACACUUUAUCACUUCAACCCUCACAAUCCCAACAUCAGAUUAUCAUACUACACUCUCACUCUUCUUGAACUCUCUUUCCAUGAAAUCCUAUCUUUCUAUGGUUGCUUAAUCCUUAAAUCACUAAGAUAAAAAUCGAAUACCCAUCGAUCAUUGAUUAGAGAAUAUAUUGCUCAGUCUUUUAAUUGUCACUACUAGUUCUAGUUAGUAAAAUUCAAAAUCGAAUAUUUUUGGUGUCGCGUAGUUUUCCUUAUUCUUAAAAAAAAAUUGUACUUAUUGACUAAAUAUAUAACGCACUUGUAACUUUUCAUGAUUAAUACUUCUAUUUUGUCAAAAUUUAAAGUAAACAGACCAGUCAUUUGCAGCUGCAAAAAUCAUUCUCCAGAUGUAGAUAAGGUUAGAAAGCGUCAAAGAGGCUCAUAAUGGUUGCUUUCAUGUUGGUGUCUCUCUCAUGCACACACUAACAAGUAAACAAACCAGAUGUAGAUAAGGUCAGAAUUUUCAUGCGGAUAUAUAGUUAUUGUUCUUACAUAAUUCAGUGUACAAUUAUAUAAUUUUGUUAUAUGCGUAAAUUUUAUUCAUACGCAUCAACUCAAUAGGUAAAUAUAACUUGGGCCCUAUUUGGCACUUGAGUUUUUGCCAAGUUUGUCUGCUACAAGUUUUACGUACAUAUUUGUGUACAUAUUUGUAACAUUUGUAGAGUCUGAUAUAAAGUUUUAUGUACAUAUUUGUAACAUUCAAAUUUACCAUGCUUGUGAUACUACUAAGAUUGAUGGUAAACAUAACUACCUUAACAUUUGAUAUUAUUUAGUAUCAGUUGCAAAUUAAGGAAUUAGAAAUUCUGAAUUCAAAUUCCUCUGCCCCUCGUUUCUUAAGUUCCAUUUCUCUUCUACUGAAAAAAAAAAUUUAAAAGAAAAAGGUUCUUCUAUACCAUUUUAUACUAGAUAAAAAAAAAUUAGAUUUUUCGGUAUCCUAUGCAAAAAUAAUGAAUAAUUAACUUGCUUUUCAAAAUUACUAUGCAUGUAUAUUGCGGAGGAAAUUUAAUAAGAUGUUACGUAUUUAAGAAGUCCAUCCCAGGCAAGUCUGUAAUUGCUAUCCUUGCUGUCCAGAGGAACCACCCUCUCAUCCAACCAAAAUAUGCUCCUUUUUGGCCAAUCCACUGAUUCCUUGUAAGGGGCCCGGGCUAGAUACCUGUGUAUUGAUAUUAAAAUUAAUCAGGCAAUCAAUAUGUAAAAACUGUACUCUAUUAAACACGAACACGAAAGAAGGUAACAUUAAUUUCUUGCUUGCAUGCUUUGACAGAUAUAAAUGAUUCUUUUGUACUGUUGAUUUACCUCAUAGUAUCGAUGAGGCUGCCUCCUGAGAGGACCACAUUGAAAGAACCUUUUUCUUUGAUGAAUCUUUCGGAGAGAUCGGCAAUGUAUCUGGCCAGGGCCACUGCGACACCAUCCUCAGUGUCGAAUUUUAGGACGGUCCUGUUUCCAAUUUCACAAGCCAUCUCUGCUGCCCUUGAUCCGAGACUUUUAGUAGUUUUAGCUUUGCUGAAAAGUGGAUUGGGCUUGCAACUUGCUGCUUAUUGUAGAGAUUCGAGCGGGACGGGAUGUACUUAUAACAGCAAAAUUUUUGGAUCACCAGCCUAAAUUUUUCCACAUGGGAAAUGAAGGAAAGAAAGCUCUGCAAGUAAAGAGUUAUCAGUAGCAGCCAUUAGUUGACUUAGAUUUUUCUACAUGGAAAAGUGAAGGAGAGAAAUCUUUGCAAUUAGAUAGUUAUCAGUAGCCGCCACGUGUGAUUUGUUCUAAUACGUUUACAUACUGUUACGCUGCCACACAAGAGUGAGCAUUCGUUUUAUUGUUUCGUUAUCACAUACGCUGCCGUCUCAGUCACGCCCCUAGUCCGCAUGUGCCAGUCACGCAAUAUUUGCCGUAUCCUAAAUUCCAUUUAAGAAUACAAGAUAAUAGUAAAUUAGACUAAAACUUAAAAAGUACUAAAUAGUAUAACUAAAUAUAAUGCGGUACAAAUCUUAAAUGGAAGGUAGUCUACGAGUAUCCAAUAAAUUCGUACACUUAUUUUCUAGAUGAGACAACGAAAAAAGAAAUUAAAUAAAAUAACAGCCAAAAGCAGUUAGACUGCUAAUUUCUAUCCACUUAGACCUACUAAAAAUCAUUCUCAAGUCUUUGAUGUAAACCAACUCAUACUCUUCACAAUAUGCAAAAGUAUAAAAAAUUGGGAUGACUGAUAAAUCGUUCAAUAGGUAGCUCCUACCCCUCUGUUGGACCAUGCAAUCAUACCUUUACAUAUACAUACAUACUUACAUACAUACAUACAUACAUACAUACAUACAUAUAUAUAUAUCAAAUUAUUUGCACACCAUUCACAUGUAUAAUUAUUGACAAUAACGUUAUCCGUAAAACAGUCAGUAAUAAUGAGUGACACAACAAUUUGUAAACAUUUUAUUCAUAACCGUACAUGAAAACCAUAGAGUCAUAAAUCAUUUCAUACCAACUCAUAAUAAGUAUAUGCAAUGACCGACUUCUGAAUACUCAAUCUAGAUAUUAAACCCUUCUAGGUGAGCGACCAAUAGAUCUCAUGACUACCGAUUGGUCUCAUUAUAUAUAUACAUCAAUCGGUCGGGUUCCAUACCGAACUACCAUGACCUUAUCAAUCGGCCAGACUCUAUACCAGAUUACCGUAACCUUUAGAUAAGACUAUAACCCCUACCGUCUAUUCCAUGAUUGUUUUGAUCUUUGCUUAACAUAAAUUCAUUUCACACGUCAGAUACAUAGUCUUUGAUUUCACAAAAUAUACCACUCAUUUUGUAUAUAAUAACAUAUCAAAAUACUUCAAAUAAUUCACAUGAUGCAUCUUUAUAUAGUAAAAAUAGAACUUGCAUAAAUACUCAAGUAAAUUUCAAAUUGACACAUCAAAAGAAGAUUAGUAAUAAAAAUUUCGCUUUGAUUUUUUGAAAUCCCAGAAGAGUGUCUGGUUGCUCGAGUGGGACUAUCUUAGGUCUUUUAAACUUGUGUCGUACCUAUCAAAUUUAUAGAUAUCCUAAUUAGUUGAUAUUUCUUAUAGAUAUAUAAAUGUACAAAACUCUAAACAACUCUAAGAUUCAUGUCUAGAUCAUUAUCUGAAGUCUAGAAGAGUUUCCUAAAUUGGAAAGUUUCUGUUUUUGAAAAGUUUCCUAAAUUGGAAAGUUUCUAUUCUUGGAAAGUUUCUUAAUUUGGAAAGCUCCUUUUUUCUUAUGUAAAGUUUCCUAACUCAUAAAUAAUUGUUUAUAAUCAUAUUUAUUAUCUUGACUAUUAUUUAUUAUAUAUAUUUUUUAUUAUUUUAUUUCUUAUUAUUGUUAUUGUCUUUAUCAAUACUAUUUUAUUUUAUUUUCAUUCAUAUAUAUACAUGUAUAUAUUGGUUAAUUAGUUAUUAUUAUCUUUUGUUCUAUUUCCCUUUUUGCACAUGUAUAUGUAUUAUUGUUAUUCAUGUAUACGAAUGUAUAUUUAUUUACCAUUACAAUUAUUAUCUUAGCCUAUUCCACUUGUAUUUAUAUUUUUAUUUUCGUUUAUAUCCUUAAUUUAUUUCAUCCAUAUUUAUAUCAUCAUCAUCAUCAUCAUCAUUUUAAGCAUUUGUUUAAAAAUCUAAAACUUAUCUUAUAUUGUAUAAAUUAAUCUAAUAAUGUUAGAUUAAAAUGUCUUAGACUUCUACUUAAAUAUCUUAUAUUGAAUUAAUUAAGCAUAAGCCUGAAUAACUAAAUCUUGAAAGCCCAAAAUUAUUUUAUAUUAGUUUUUGAAGUUUAAUACCCAUGAUAAUCCAUAAAAGAUGGGUUGGUUAUAUCUAAAUUUUAUCUAUUGAACAUUCACUAAAUCCACUAUACUUUUGGUCCAAGUAUAGUGCCACCUUUUUUUUCGGAUUUGAAUAAUAAUGGCCCAAGUUCCAUAUGCCCAAGCAUUUCCUUAUUUCUCCUAGUCCUAGUUCGAUUCCCCUUCACACUUGGCCCAGCAUCCAACUCAGCAAGCCCACACAUACCCACCUACAUCUUGACCCAAACCAUUUCCUUCCAGAUCCGACCCACAAGACCAACCCGGUUCAUUAACCCAUCAAUUAGCGGGUCAUCUUCUUCCCCAUUUUUUUCCUUAACAGGAAUUUUUUUUCCUUUGGCUGGCCUUCAUGCCUGACUUGGUAUGAGAGAAGGGUCUUGCUCUCUUUUUUUUUCCUUCUUGUAUUGCUGAAGAAGCUUCAACAACGAUGCAACUCUUCUUCUUCUUUUUUUUUUAAAAAACUCUUCGUAGAAAUGGGUUUAGACUCUAUUUCAUCCCAUAAUUAAAAUUUAACACACUAUUGCUACUAAUCUGAACAAGAAUCUUCCUAAAUUUCUCAUACAGGCAUAUACAUAUCAUAAUAUAUAUGUAUACAUAAAAUCUUUAAAAUAAUUCAUGAAAUUAAUAAGAUUUAAAAGAAAAAGUUUUAACGUGUGUUCAGAAGUUACAGGUCUAGAUGCUUAGUUGCUUGCUUAUCGACGGCGAUGUUUUCUUCUUCUUCUUCUCUAUUUUCAAAUGGUUAUUGUUCCAAGGGAAGGCAGAUCAUGAGAGUUAGGAACGAUGUUAUUUCUUUUAAUUGUUUUGAUAAGUGUUUUAAAUUCCUAAUAACCAUCCACUACAUGGUGGUUACGGGGGUUGAGGAUUUUAGCUUUUCCUAUUUUAUCUCCUCCAUAACUCCCAAUUACCUUUUAACAUUCUCUACCAAUUUUUUUACUUUUUUCCCAUAGAAAAUUACCAAUUAAUUAACGAGCAAAAAAUAAAAGUUGAAUAUAACAAUAAAAAAAAUAUGGGUGUUGUAGUCUCCCACAGUGAAGGAACCUUGCUCCUUGUUGAGAGAGAUCACCAAUAUAUGCAAUAUACUUGUUUUAAAACAAAACUGUCCUAAAGAAAGUGUAUAUACUUGUGGUUUUUUUUUUUCGGUUAAUCAACAAUAUUGAUACACUUCUCUCACUCUAAUAUUCAAACAGAGGUCUGACUAGGUCACGAAGUGUUAGAAGGAAAAACACCCAUCUCUAGACAAAAGGAUGAACUAUUGUACACCUUUUGAUUAAUUUAAUUACAGGUGCAGAGAUUUGAUCUCUUGACAUGCAACUAGAACUACAUUAUAUGCUUUUUAUUACAUUAGAGCUCAAAAUAGGAGAGGCAUAUAAAAUUCAAACCUUAAGGGGCUACAAGUGAAUUAUCAAUAACCACAGGGGAGAUAACCAAAAUUAUCCCUCUUUUAAGUAAGUUGUUUUUAUUUUAUUUUUAUUUUCUCCUCUUUCUCUUUUUUAAUCAAACCAUACAAAAUUUAACAUCCGCAAAGUCAAAUUUUCAGUCAAUUUUUAGAUAUUAUCAUAAAGAAAUAAUAAAAAUUGAAUAGUGUCUUGGACACGCUUUUAGGACUUAAAAUUGGUGAUAAAUACAGUAGUAACAUGAUCUGUCAUUUAAAAAUUUUCAAUCCAUCACAAACCUAACUAAGGGUUCAUAGACAGGUAUCGUGAUCAGUACCACUUCUUCCUUAUUCAGUACGUAUAAAUGUUCUAUUGGAGAUAGGGGUUACUUUUAGUUGAUGUAACCCAUCUACUUAUUAAAUGUCACGCUAGCUCAUUGCUUUGUCAUCAAGUUUUUUUUUUUAUUUUUUUCCUAAAAUUAUGAUGGUAAGAUUCAUUAGGUUAUAGAUAAGGUUUACUCUUAAAUAUCUCUAAUUAAAGUAAUAACAAAAAAGGGCAUUGUUAAUAGAGUUAGACUAACAUAUACUAUGCUGCUUCUAUAUGAGAAGUAGUAGACCUCGUCUACUGUGAUGUGUGAGACAUCUAAAUUAGUAUAUGUGUGCUUGAUAGGAUGAUUAAGUUCACUAAAUUGAUCCGCAUAGAGACAUCCUUUAAGUGCAAAAAAAAUUAAUCUCUAAGUGACAUUUGUGUAAGUGAUCUUUAGAUUUAAAGUUAUCACAAUAUCUUAAGUACGGACAGUUAUACUUUAUUUGUUAUAUGAUUGCUCCUGUAACAGGUAAUGCUCACAACAUUAGCAAAUUGAUAUAUACAUAAAGUAUGGAAAGAUGAUGAAUAACCUAUAAGGAUUUAACAACUCUUAUGAAAUAGGAGUUAUCUCAUGUCUAGUCACUUGUAGAAGUAUAACUUAGAAUUCUUAUCGCUAAAUGGAAGAGUUUUGGAAAGUGUUUAUAAAUAUUUCUUCAUUAGAGUUAUAUUUGUAUACAAGAAAUGAACAUUAAUCACAUAUUGGAAUAGGUACAACCUAUUCCAAGAUUAAUGUGAGAUAAGUGCAAUAAAAGGAUAUUAAUUACACGAUAAAUAUUCACUAAAACACGAAAUCAUCCACUUCACUUUUUUCAUUAUUUGGAUGGUCAUGCUACAUUAUUGGGUGCCAAUGUUGAUCUACAAAAAAUGAGGUACAUCAUUCCAGUCCGUGCCCUAUGUUCCUCAAAUUGACGCUAACAUCACCGACCCCACGAAUGUGACUAUUCUUUCCUUGUUUCGUAUAAUUUUGGGACCAGUCCAUCCUAAAUAUUGUAUUUCCAAGGAAUUCUGGGACCAGUCUAUCCUAAUUAAAUUAUUGUGCUUCCUGUUCCAUCUAAAUUAUUGUGCCUCAACCGAAAUUUUGGACCAGUCCUUCGUGAAUUUUUGGAAGCCAGUCCCUCGUAAUUGUUCCGGGUUUGAGUAGAAUGUCCAUGCAAAAUUAGUCACGUGUUAAUUUCCUCAAUUUGUCGAUUAAUGCUACUCUCAACCUUUAUUGUAGUGAUGGUUGCUAAAGUAAUAUAUUUGACUUUUUUGAGGAUGGCAAUAAUCAAGGUAUAUCUAUAGGAGGAGCUAAAUCCUUAGUACUCACUCAAAACAAAAUUUCAUGGUACUCCUCCCUCUUGUAUUCAGACAUUCGAUAUGGAGAAAACUUGUACCUAGUAUUGAAAAUUGCACAAGGUCUAGAUUAGAAUUGAAAGAGUAAAUUUUAUUAAAAAGUAUAAUGUUAAUAUUUUAAUGUUCAAUAGGAGAUUAUUUGAAAUAUUAUUUAGAAUACUUAUUAUAGUAGUUUUUGUGAUAUGUAUGAUAAAAAUAUGUAUGGGAGAUUAAAAAAAUUAUUAAAAAGAUAAAAAUAUAUUUUGAAAAAUGUAUUUAUGUUACAAGCGAACACUUUUUUUUUUAACCAAAUAAUGCCUAUCCAAACACACCCACAUUGGUUUUUUCUUUUUCUUUUCUUUAUUUUAAUUAUUGUUCUUAUUUUUUACAAGCAAGUGACUUUUCUUUUUUUUUUUUCCCCUCCUUCUCUUUUGGGAACAAUGGAUGUAAAGUUUUACAUGCACAAGAGAUCGAUUUUCAAUUGAUUUUCAAAAGUUUAUAUAAUGAGCUUGUGAACAAAAGAAUCUAAUCCCAGUAGGACCUACAAAUUUUUUUUUAAAAAAAAUGAUGUUUGCAUUAUAUAUUUCAACUUAAGAACUAGGGGACGAAACCAUCAAACUCAUUCAGCAGAUCUCUAGCCAAUCAUUAAGGACCAAAGAAGCUGAUAGGUUUUACUUGUGAUUGCUUCUAGCUGAUCUCUCUCUCUCUCUCUCUCAAAAGCAUGUACACACAAAUACACUAGGAGAUGAACAAACAAUAACUCGAGACCCUAUAAUCUUUUUUUUUUUUACUUUUUUUAGUGUAAGCGGGAGGACUCGAACCCGAGACCUUUUGUUUACACUCCCUCCCCCCAUACCAUCCAAUCCAAUAAUUUUCCCACUAAUCCCCCAUCCUCCAUGCGUCUUAGUUAUCAAUUGCAUAUUUCUUUAUCAUCACUGCAAACAUAUUCAUUUCAUUUUAGUUGACAGUGAAAUCUGCUUCUGCAAGUAAAAUAGUGCCAUAUUCAUCAAGUAAACAAAAAUGGUUAUGCUAUGAGAGGUCAUCAUUAAAAUAAACAGAGAUGUGGAUAUAGAGAAAAAGUAAGAGAAAAGGAAAGGCAAAGAGAUAAUAAGAGAAAUGAAGAAAAAAUUGUUGCUUACAAGAGUGAAAGAAAGGAAGAAAGAAAGAAUGGUGUUGAUGGAGAAUAGAAGAGGUAGGGUUUCUUUUUCUUUUUUCUUUUUCUUUGUUUUAUUUAACCCUUGCAUUAUAUUAUGAAUUAUGUAUUAAGUGAAGGACAUUAUAGUCAUAUUAUCACACCAAGGGAGGUUAGUGUAAUUUUUUAAAUUUAAAGGGAGCCGAGUGAAAUUGUCAAAAAUCUCAGGGGAGGUUUGUGAAAUUAUCCCAAAAUAAAAAUGAAAUUAUUGCUGUCUAUCGAACCUUUCCAACAAAAUGAUAGAUUUGUUUAAAAUUACAUUGCCAUGUUAUCAUUUCAAGCGGGUUCCACCGCCACAUCACAUCAGAUGUGAAUGAUAUAUAAGGUGCUUUAUCUUUCGCGCCCUCAUCCAACGAAAAUAUACUCCAUUUUGGCCAAUGCAACUGUGUUGUCGGAUAGGAGAUUAUUUAGAAUCAUUUUUUUUUAUAAAAUAUUGUAGCAAAUUUUAAUGAAAUUAAACAUAUUCCAUUCUGGCCUAUGCGAUUUUGUGUCACAUUUUUAAUAUGAUGUUUGUAAAAUAAAAAUAUAUUUAUAAUAUAAAUAAAUAAAUUUAUGUAAAUAAAAUGCUGUCCGGCGCGAGAACCCGAUUUAGAUACGUAUCCAUAUCAACGUCAGGGAAGCAAUCAACACAUAAAAAGCAAACCAUCAUGCUGUACUACGUACGUUAAACGGUAAGAAGACAACAUUAAUUUCUUGCUUGCAUGCUUUGCUAGAUAUUAAAUGACUCUUACAUAUUGUUGAUUACAUACCACAUAUAUAAAGUAUCGAUAAGGGUACCUCAUGAGAGGACCACAGUGAAAGAAACUUUUUUUUUUAGUUUUGUAUCUUGUAGAGAUGAGUCCUGCUUGCUGUAAAUUGUGUGGUUUGAUAGCAGACUUUUAAACCCUGUAACUGGGGAAUAUUUUAGCAAAGAAUAACUAUUCUAAUGUUACUAACAUGUUUCCUUGAUUGCAAUAUAGGCCUUGUUUUCUAUAAAAACUCUUUACCUCACAUAGAAAGAUUAACAUCUUUUCUUAAUAGCUGUUUUCUUUAGUCAACUGCAUCAAUAUUCUGUUUUCAACUGGUACAGAGAAUUCAGAAUUUAAGGCUCUUAGUUUUGUAAGGUAACCAAGUUUUGCAUUAUCUUCACUUACAUACACAUCUCAGCUCGUAAUCAACCUGUUUGUGUUAAUCAGAAAAUCUCUUCUCCUUGUUCAUCUUGUAACUCUUAUAUAAGCCUCCAACAAUACUGAAUAAGUUUUUAUUUCUUUAUCUGGUGCUUUUAUUCCACACAAAUUUUGCCAAUAGCUUGAGCUUUUAAAUAUGUGUGUGUGUGUGUGUUUUUGUGUUUAUGUGGCAAGGGAUUUAUAUUCUGAUCUGGUACUGGAUUCUUUGUUUUAUACUUGGAAAGAGAUUGUUUGUCCAAUACAUUAGUAGAUUCCUUCCAUCUCUACCUCUUUUUCAUGACUUCAGAGAUGUCAUCAUUUCUGAAAUAUCUCAUACACGUCCAGACUAGAAUAAGCAAACCGAUGCUUCUACAUUCUUGGUUCUUUGGAUCUUGAGUUUCCCUUUCUGUUUAUUGAGCAAUUGGAUAUGGAAUUUAAAUCAAAGAAGAAAAGCUGCGAGAUGAAAAGUGACAAUAUAAGAAGCGCAAAAUCGAUUAGCAAUGCAUCCGUAGACACAUAUAUUUGACAAUCAUCAAUGAUGAACCUCAAAAAGAUUGUCAUGGAGGACGCAUGUAUAGAGUCAAAAGUACAUUUUACCAGAUGUUUGUCUGUUGGUCGAUUUGAAAACUGAAAGUUCAAGUUAUCAGUACUGGGGGCAAGCUUUCCUCAUGUAGUUGCCAAUCUCAUUACAGGCUCCGCCAAUUCUUUCAUUGAACUGUUAUCUUGACAUUGUAGUGUACAUUAUCUUUAUGCAGUUCUGACUACUUUUGACAGCUCAUACGGAUUUGAGAACUGAAAAUCAACAUCUAGUUUAUGGACAUUAGAGUGGUAAUCCCUGAUUUCAUCUACCGAAAUCUCUAAAUCUUAAAUCUAAUUAAAGAUACAAAACUAGAAAACACAUUAAAUCUCAAAUUCUACUAUUUUUACCUGUCUUACCCAGCAAAUCUCAAAUUCUGGUUUCACCAAUGCCCACAAACACAUUAAAGAGGCACGGACAUGUUGACUUCGGUGUUCAAUAACUAUUGAGACAUAAACAUCAUUAUUAAGCUUCAUUUUAUUUAAUCUUAAAUUGCUAAAUCUUAUCAAAUUUUACUCGUAACAACACCUUACUUUUGAAAAUUUUUGUGUGAAGCCUUCAAUAACUAUAAAGACCUAAUCUUAGUUGAUGUAGCUCAUCUACUUAUUAAAUGUAAUGCUAACUCAUUGCUUUGAUGUAGCUCAUCUACUUAUAUAGUUAUAUUUUUGUGUGCAUGGAAACCAAACCAUUGGAACUACAUUAUUCCGAUAUAUUUACUCACAGAAAAGUGUGGUAGAGUACGUAUUUACUCACAGUAAAAAAUUUGAAUCCAUCACAAAACCUGACUAGGAUUGACACAGAGGUUUUUGUCUUACUUAGUACCACUUGUCUCUUGUUUAGAAUGGCUGAUGGGGUUUAUUUUUAGUGGAUGUAGCCCAUGUGAUAUAUACUGCGAAGCAUCAACUACGAAUUUAUAAUUAUUGAAAGUGCAGAAAAAAAGCAACCACACUUUUCUGCUCUAUAUAUACCUCUCUGUGAACUGAGACUUGCCUAGGAGAUCUCUAGCCAGUCAUUUGUAGCUCUAAAAUUCAGCAUUGAGAAGAAAUGGAGAAAGCAUCAAAAAAGCUGAUACUAUUUGCUUUCUUUGUGAUUGCUUCAUGUAAGUCUUUCCCUCAUGCAUGGACACACAAAUUAAAGAAAAUGGCUUCCAAAUCCCAUAAAAGUUAUGGUUUCUUACAUAUAUAUAUUUGUAAACUGCAGAAUUUGCCUCUCUUAAGAUUUUAGAAAUCAUUUUAUGUUCCACUGAAAUUCUAAAAGUUCUCAAUUAUAUUCAAUUAUGUACGUAGAUGUUAGACUUCCUCACCGAGCUUUUUGCAUAUCUCAACUUCUGGUUCAACCAUAGCACACAAACACGCUAAAACAAGCACAGACACGUUGACAUGGGACUUCAGUAACUAUUGAGGCCUAAUGAUCAUUAUUAAAUUUAAUCUUGUUUAAUCUUAAAUUGCUAAAUCUUAUCAAAAUUUACCCGUAUCAACUCCUUAUUUGAAAAUUUUAGUGUGAAGACAUAGAAACUGCUCAUGAUCUACAGGGACAUUAAGCAUUCGAAAUAACUUGAGAUGCAAUGAAAAACGAACAACACAAACUAUUUGACGAGUUAACCAAUAUGAUUGGUGUAGUUUUAAACUAUAAACUGUUGAGCUGAACUUGCAAAAUUCAUUUGCAGUGGUCAUAGGGGGGCCAAUAGCAAAGGUGGAAGCCUCAAGAGUCCAACCAGCUGAGGCUGAAGCUGAAGCUGAAGCAGAAGCUAUAGCUGAACAAUUGAUAACAACUCUGGAGUCAACUUUAACUGAUACUGGAGGAAUUUGCCCUUCCCGAUGCUUUACUGAUAGGCAGUGUCAAACCCGACUUUGUCGCAAGACGAGUUGUAAAUAUAUCGCCCUCUUGCCCUUCAAACAGUGUGUCUAGUUUCUCCAUAGUUAUCACUUGAUUUCAUCUCUUGUGGAACCAAGGGAUUUGUAGGGCGCCUUCAAUAAUAAAGCAUGUGAGAAAUCAUAUGCAGUAGUGUCAUGUAUUAAGCGCCGAUAUGUAUUUUUCUUGAUGUUGUUCACUUUACUCUUUUGCUUGUACUUGUCUUUCACAGUACAAUGUACGUUUGAUUUGGGUAAUCCUGUAAUAAAGUCGAUUGUUAUCUAUAUUGGCAUUUAACCACUGGGCCAAUGGCUCAGUGGUCACCGGGGAGGGACUUAAGUCCCUCUUUGGGCUGUUGGUGAGGGUUUAAAUCUCACCAACAGUGAAAAAAAUCUAAGAGUUGUGCCAUAGCACUCCCUUGGUUUAGUUGGGUCUGUAUACCCACUAACUCCUACAAGAGCUUCCUUAGGCUCCCCCCGUAGAUUAGGAUAAAGUAAGUUAUACAAAUGUAUCAUUGCUGACAAAAAAAAAAAAAAUCUAUAUUGGCAUUUAUUUGGUACAUGGAUGAGAGGCCUUGAAUCUUUAUUUUGAUCAUUUAAUCUGGUCUUUAGAAGUUACUGUUAGAUUAAACAUUUUAUGUUUGUGCCCUACAAGUUGUGGAUCAAUGAAGAACUUCAUCUUUGUACUGAACUUAGUACUAAUUUUUAUUUAUUUAUUUAUUAUUUUUGACAAAAAAGAGUUUAUACCUUUUGAUGAUUUUAAAGUUUUUUAUUAUAGGAAAAACGUCUUACCUUCCAACUAAACUGUAUUUUAAUAUCUUGGUCAAUGUAGAUAGAAUUUAGUAUUGAAAAUUUGAUGUUUUCCAAGGGAUAAUUAAAGUUUAGGUGUCCUUUAAUUGUUACUUAAUUCAAUUCUUAACUGUAGCUCUUGGAUACAUACCUGCUUAAUGUUAUCAUGUUUGGAGGCUUAGGCACACGUGAUAACUUUUGAAGAAAGAAAUGUAAUUUGUAUUCCCCAACGUUUGUUUUAUCCACCGUUGCUCCCUAAACAGAUCAAGUACCUCAUUUUUCCGCUAUCAAUCAAUUGAGGAAAAUUGAGGGAAUUAUUUCAAUUUGGAAAAAUUUAAUCAAGUCUGCCUCAUAUAUUAUUGAUGUGAAAUUUUAGUUCUUAGAAUCAAAAUGAACAAUUUUAGCUCCUAACAAAUAUAAAAUACUUACUUUUGAUCCUUAAUUAACUUUCCGGUUGAAUUUUGGCCGAAUUUUGUUGGAUCCCGUCAUCUUCCUCGCUGAGUUUUGCAUAUUUUUUGGUCUAACCCUUAGGAAAGUUAUUUUGACAAAUUUCACUACUUGAUUUUGGCAUCAAUCAAGUUCCCAAAUCAUUUCAAACAUAUCUAAAGCUUCAAAUCAAAUAAAAAUCAUCACGUAAAUACAGAUCCAAGGAUCAAAUGAGAAAUCCAAAAGUUCAAAUUUUCCACUCUAUUUUCUCCAUAAGACUCAAAUAAAGUUGUAACAAAAUUACAUCCAAUGAUUUCUAGGAUCCUAAAGAACAAGAGCCAUGAGAAAUUUGAAUCCUAUAAUCCGCAAAAAGGGACCAAAAUUUCGACCAAAUUUUUUUUAAAAAGUUAACCGAAGACCAAAAGUGUGCCUUUUUUAAUCUGUUAGAGACCAAAAUCACUCAUUUUGAUUCUUAAAGACUAAAAUUUUACAUCAGUAAUAUGUAAGGGAUGAUUGGUUCAAUUUUCCCUUUCAAUUUCUAAUGGAACAAAACUAUUGAACUUAUCUGUGUGUUCGUAAAACAUGCUAAGGGAAUAGUCGCCCCACUUAUUUCAAUUUCUCUCCUCAACUAAAAACGUUAAACUUUUCCGCCCCCAAACUCUCUCCUUCUCUCUUAUCUCUUGUGUCAACAAAUCCUCUUCUUUGGGUUAUGUGUACAGUGUUCCAAAAAACAAAUCCUCUUCUUUUGUUUGGAUAGAGUAUUAUUUGAAAUAUUACUUGGACUAAUUACUAUAGCACUUUUUGUGAUGUGAUGUAUGUGAGAUAAAAAAGUUAUUGGAAAUAUAAAAAAAUGAAUUGGGAAAUGUGUUUAUGAUGCAAACGAAAUAUUAUUUGGAAUAAUUUGAUAUCCAAACACGGUUUUAAGAGGACUCAAGUUAAGUAGAGUGGUAAUUUUAAACACAGCGUAAUAAAUAGGGAUAAUUUCAGAAACCUCCCUUGAGGUUUCUGACAAUUUCAGUUAGCUCCCCCAAUUUUAGAAAAUUACACUAACCUCCCUUGGUUCAAUAAAAUAACUACAAUACCCUCAACUUAACAGAUAAUUUACAACAUAUGCGGGAUACAAAAACCAAACCAAAAGUAAAAGAAAAUAUAAAAACCUGCAACAACUCGUCAUCAUCCCCAACCCUACUUCAAUUAACAGUGGUUCCUUUUCUCUUUCCCUCCCUUUCUGUCUACCUCUUAAGAUUUGCUCAUUCCUAUCUAUAAUCUUGCGGUCUCUUCCACCCAUCAACUACACCACCAUGCAAACAUACCCGAAGUUUUUAUUUCUUGUCUAUUUCUCUCUUUCCGUGGUACUUAACUAUCAGCCCCUUGUUUAUUUCUCUUCGUAUUAUAAUUUGCAUAUAAUAAAGAAUCAAAAUUUCCAAAAUUACAAAUUGAGGGAGCAAAUAAAAAUUUCAUGGUCAAAUUAGAUGGAGAUGUUGAAGAUGGUUGUGAUAGAGAGGAAAAAAUUGAAAUUAAUGGGCUAUGGUUGGAAGAGAAAAAGGGAUGACUCUGGGUUAUGCUAUUAUGUCUAUUACGCACUAGAAUCUAAUAUCUUUAUUUAGUUUCGUUUUUGUUUGAUUUACAAGUAUUGGUGGUGGUUUGUCAUAGAAAUUAGUUUCUCUGUUCUUAACGCCAUUAGAGUAUGGGAUUGCUCUUAGCAUAGACAUCAAUAGUGGUUGGCCAGGUCUUCUGUUCAAGGAAGGUAAUAUGCGAUAGGUGUUGAAUUCAUAAUUUGAGGUGUGAGAUUAGCCAAUAGACAAAAUAUAGUGUUAAUUUGGGGCGGGAAGCUUUUGAGGGUAUUUUAGUUGGUGGUGGUGGUUAUGGUCUAUUUGUGAAGUGAUUCGGGUAGAGUUUAGGAUUUUGAUAAUGCCGAAAUUGAUAGAAUUUGGGGAUUAAAUUGGAGUACGAUUUUGGUAAAUUUUGAGAUUUUAGUGAUACCAAAAUUGAUAGAAUUUGGGAAUUAAAUUGGAGUUUGCUUGAAUGGUUGAUGAUGUGACGACCCCACCUCCCCCUAAGGCGAACCAAAGGGUUCGGCGGACCGCCUGCCCAACUCUUGCCGGAACUCACUUACUUACUACAUUUCUCAAGUAAAUUACAAGGUACAACUCGAAUAAUACAUCCAAUUCUCCAAAAUUACAUAUCAUAAGCGAAACGGAAACUAGUUCUAAGCGUAGAAUGUAGAUAUACAUCCGAUUCAAUUCCAAAUAUUUAUACAGGCCCAAAAGUACAUAAACCAAAACCAAAUCUAAACUAUACAAGAUGUACGCCAUCCAGCCACAUAGAGAUCCAAAUACAAGUUCUCCUUUACUUCGAUCCCUGUAGGGAGAAGAAGAUAAUAGGGGGUGAGCUAGAAGCUCAGGGAGUGACCAGUAAAAUCAACAGCCAAGUAUAUUUCACAAUAAAGCAUUGAUAUGAUGUCAUGAUGCAGUAAUCAAAUAUUCAUUUAUUGGUCACGAGAGCCAGUGAAGUUCUUGUACUUAAAUAUCCAAUGCUCGUUUAGAUCAGGUAACCGUGAAACAAAAGUAAGGAGCCAUCGUGCUCCAAAGAAUGUGUAAACAGUAGUGGAGACAUUGGUUCUAAGCACAAGACUUUCUAGAAACUCAUUGGAGCCAAAUUAUGUCAUGGCACACACCCGAACCCAAAUGAUAUGCAAUGGAGUAAUAAAUGCAAGAAUUAGUUCAAAAGUAACUUUGAAAAUAGUCGAGGGAUCACUCACACAAAAUAUAGUGCUUCAAGUAUUCACGUUCAAUUAUACUCCAGGCUUGAAGUCCAGAUUUACGAUAAAAAUCCAAUUUGAGAACUUUGAAACACGAGUAAGAUUCGAAACUUAAACAUUCCGUUCAUUAAGCAUCAACCAAUUGAAAUUCAUUUGAAAGACAUUCGUGAAACACUUGCUCGCAUUUCAAAUCGUAAGGUUUUUGUAGCAUAUAUACUUGGAAACAACACUUGAGUUGAAAGUACAAGGAAAUACAAGUUUACAUUGGCCAUUAUAUCUUUUCCUCAAGGGUACAAGUUCGACUAGGUUUUAACGUAUAACCCUCGAUUCAAGAUAGCCAAAGUCCUAGAUGGCUCAAGUACUAGUCGUCUCAACUCGACCCAAGUCGCAAGGUAUUUCUAUAGCCCUCGAACGUAAAUUCGGGCAGCAUGCCCUUUGUGUUUACCUAAUUUCCAGCCAUUUAUGACUUCAUUCUUACUCAAUCCAACCCAACAUUGUACACUAAACAAAUCCAUAACACAAAUUCAGUUCAAUAGCCAUUCCAUAGGCUCACAACAACACACGAACAAAGAUUAAGCUAAUUUCAAGUGCGGAAAUGCAAUUACAAAAGAUAGAUUUGACAGGUUUUGCGAAAAUAACAUAUCCGAGGCUACGCUUAUCGGAUUGAUACGCAGCUUAUACCAUUUCGAAGCUAAGACGAAGGCCUACAACUUUCAUGAAGGUCACUUAGUCAAAUUUUCAAUGUAACCUGAUCAAAUUCCCAACUCACAUAACCAGAUUUCAACUAUUCGGCUAAUCGACCGCACUGCAUUCAGGUAACCAUAUCUCAGUCUACCAAGGUCCGUUUAAGGCGUUCUUGGUGGUGUUACAAAGCUAAGAUAGGGCACUGAAACUUUCAUGUUUUGGUGAAAGCCUAAAUCCAAAUGGAUUAUAAUGAAUAAACGCAAUCAAAUAGUCUAAACUGUCCACGCGGAACUCUGAAAUGUAACCUAAAUCAGCAAGGGUAUUUUCGUAUUUUAAUAAGCUACGAUACUCUGAUUGAGCUGAAAUUUUGUAGGCAACUAUAAAAUACCAUUAUAUACAACUUUCAUGUUUUAACCUAAGGCCAAUUCGGCCUCUAACAUGAGGCUACAAAACCGGACAGAAAAAGGGGAAAUUUUUCCAGAAAUCUGGAAUUUGUUGAUUUCAAUCCAACCUUCCUUGAUUUCUUACUUCCAACACUACCAAAGCCCCCUAUAUAACCUUAUAUACAACAUAUAUUAACUAUACAACAAGUUUGGGCAGCACUUAGUCAAGCCCUAACUUACAUAUUUCAUCCAAAAUCACCACAACAACUUGCAUAACUUGUAAUCAAACCCAAAACAUGAACUAUUUAACAUCUUAAACAAGAAUAAAAGGAUCAAGGCCAUAGAUCAGAUUUUAUACCUCAAAAGAAGGCUUGCAAGAGUGAUCCUCCACUAUUUUUUGAAAUUUUUGGUUCUCUUAGCUUCCCAAGCUUCCAAACUUACGAUCAAUCGGUUUAGAAUUCGAUUUUAGCACUUGGUUGGUGUAAAUCAAGAAGAAAAUGGUGCAACUCUUGCUCUCCCUUUCUCUCUCUCCUUACUCAGCCAAGAUGCAGAAAAUAAUGAAGGAGAUUAAGCUAAGUUUGUCUUAUAAGAAGGUAGAAAGAUAAGAAUUAAUUCUAACCACAAGUUUGGCCAACACUUGGCUUAACCUCAACCACAAAAAUUUUCUCUUUCCUUCCUUGCAUUUGAGCCACAAAUUUCGGUCAAGCUUAACUGUAAAUUAGGAGAUAUUUUGCUCAAAUAUCAAUAAACUUGUAUGGUAAGAAAGUGGUGGUCAAGUGGUGCGUUCAAUCGGUAGUGCGCGGGACCCGCCGGUUCGCGCCGUUUUUCUUAAAAACACACGUACUAGGGUUUUUACUUCCUAUUCACUAACCUUGUAUCAUUGCUUCUAAUCACAUAUUAUUUCUCACUUAAAAGUCAUUUUUAAUCACUAAAUUUGAUCCUUGCUCCAUACCGAAAAUCCAUCCGGCGAAAAAUCGCGAAAACCCUAAUUUGCCCCAAUCUUGGAAACGAAGAGUGAAACCCUACUUUCUAGGUUCAUCUGCACUUAUUGUGGGGUGAUUGAGUAGUAGGGCCAUUAUAAAGUGGUAUUUGUCAAAGAAAAGGGAAUUUUUAAGAAAAAUAUAAGGAAUUUGCAUGGCUUCUAGCCGGAUUCUCCACAGAACACUAUUCACCAGAAAUUUUUCCUUUUUCUUCUGCCUCGAGGCGUCACAGAUGAGGUUUUGGGUUUACAAUUAUCGUGGAAGCAUAGUAAACUUGGAUAAAAGUGUUUGUUAAUUUUUUUUGGUUAAAUUGAUCACUAAACCUUUUUUUUACUUUCUUUUGAUGUUAUGAUAUUGCAUAAGGGUAUUUUAGGAUAUUUAAGUAUAAUUCUAGUCCAAUGGGUCUAUAAUGUUACUUAAAUAGUAAAAAGAAAGGAGGUCAGUGUAAUUUUCUAAAAUUAUGGGGAGUUAAGUGAAAUUGUCAGAAACCUCAAGGGAGGUUUCUGAAAUUAUCCCUAAUAAGUAAUAACACAAUAUGAAUACAACUCCGAGACAACCUAACGGAAACACGGUAUCAAAAGAAUUUCCGUAGCAAUUAGGUGGACAUGAUUAUGAGGACGUAUCCAAAAUAGGUCAUAUUGCGUUAAUCCAUGGAAUGACACAAAUCAUAUAUUAGUAACUCGUUAGCGGUUGAACGUUGCCAUGUUAAUCCGAACUUGUAACACGACAAGUUUAUAUAAGUAAAAUAAAAUUCUUUUUUGAUUCCCUCCGGUAUCUAUGUAAAAUUUUUGUAGAUUCUUUCCUAAAUUUACAGCUAAACAAAGUUUAGUACCCUUCUGAAUAAUAGUAUAAGAUCCAAUGUUAAAGGCAAAGAGUUAAGAAUUUGCAUCAAAUCUUUUAGACAAAAUUAAUACGUUUUAAACACUAACUGAUCUACCUUGCAUAUCUAUUUACACCAAAUCUUUUUAAAUUACCUCCUUAUUUUAUCUUAAAAGCAGUUUAGUUCUCCUCUCCACAGAGUACUAAUGCCAAAGUCAUAUAGUUAUUUCCACCAAAUUUAUUUGGAGCCAUUUUAAAUUUCACAGUGGAAAUAAUUUAAUUCCCUCAUAAUUGGUGGAUUGAAGCCAAGGUACUUAAAAGGCAAAGUCCCUUUGGGAAUUCAUACCAAAUUUUUUUAGAUGAAAAUGAAUUUUUUUUAAAGAAAAUGUGGUGGGUCCCUCCCAUAUUGAUAUGCAGCAAAAUUUUUGAAUUGUGACCUAAACUUACCGUGAAAAUAAAUAAGGGAUGGGAUGUGUGGUAUCAAGGCAGAAAGUAUAAGUUAGAAGUCCCGAUUUCGAGAUUUCCAACCUACACUUAAAAAAAAAAAAUGUUCCUUCCUAGAUAUUCUAUUGGAGCCAAAGAUCUUAUAUUUAUUUAUACCAAUUCUUUGGAGUCGCUCCUGAAUUUUGCAUGAAAAUAAUUUAGUCCUCACCUAUCAGAACUAUAGGUUAAUGAGUAAUGACAACAGCCCAUAAAAUGUUUAACACAAAUUUUUUUAAACAAAAUAAAAUUUUCCCUUUUUUGUUUUGAAAGAAAACCACUACAUAUGUUCCUUCUACAUUCAUUUACACCAAUAUUUAGAAUUUUCUCCUAUCAUGAAAAUCGCUAAUUAAGUUCCAUCCACUACAAGAAAAAUGUCCUAUUAUGACAUACCUAUAAGGACACUUUUUUGUAAGUGUCAUUUUACAUGUUUUAUGAAGACAUAAAAAAGUGAGUGUCAUAAUAAAAUAACAUGAACCAAAUACCAUUGCACUUUGUUUUAUAUUUUUCUAAAGGGAUAAUUUCAGAAACCUCCCCUGAGGUUUCUGACAAUUUCACUGACCUCCCCUGAGGUUUCCACAAUUACACUGACCUCCCCUGGCAGAACUUGGGACCCAAUUGCUGACAUCAUAUAAUGCAAAAUUACUAUUAUACCCAAGACAUUUUGUGUUUUGGAUAGUAUUGGAUUGCAUUUCUAUUUAUUUAAUGUAUGGUUAUGAAAUUUGUAAUGAUAUUACUCUUGGAUUGCAGCUUUGGUUUACACCUUAUUACUGUUAAGGUUUUAUAAAUGACUGUUUUAGUUCUUGGAUUGCACCUUACCUCCAAAAUUUGGGAAUUUGCCCAAAUUUUCCAUUUUCUAAUAUUCCUACAAAUAUGCAAAAUUAUGCAUAUCCCUCAAAUCUACCCAAUAUUAAUGUUUUGUUAAACUCUAAAUAACAAAAAUAUGAAAUAUAUUAUUUAAAUAUAUUUUAGUUACACACAAGUUGGAUGGGUAACUAGUGUGUCAGAGAGUUGCCAUAAUCUCCUUAAACCCGCAUGCGGGUUUAAAGAGUAUUCGGAUAUUCUCAUAUGCACCUAUGCAAAUCGAACCAAUCGGAUAUCUUAUCCGUAUCCCAUUUUUUUAAAUAAAAAUCUUAUAAAUUUGAAAAAUAAAAUCAAAUUUAGAUGUAUUAGGGUUUUAAAAAUAUUAUAUAAGUGAUAAAAAUUUUAUAAAUUGUAAAAAUAAAAUCAAAUUUAAAUAAUUAAAUGUUAUAUUUGUAUAAGAAAUAAUACAAUAAUCAUAAUAAUGAUAAUACAAUAAUAUUGAUGUAAUAAAACUGCCAUUAAUUUAAAUAUUUACUUAUAAUGCCCAAAGAGCCUAAUUACCAAUUUUUUCUUCUCGCGCUCAAAUAUAACAUUAACCCGCAUGCGAGCUAACCUUGAAAUAGAAAAAACACAGAAUCCCGCUUGCGGGUUUCAGCGUUAUUAUGCAGGCGGGAUUUUAACCUGCUUGCUUGUGAACAUGUACCGCAUUGCUUUGAAUUUUUGUGACAAGAGGAAAGCUUUGUCUGAUGAAUGUAUUUGUGAAAUGACCUGAGUGGUGGUAGAUGGGUUAAUUGGGUCGGUUGCGUUACCCAAUUGUUUAUAUCCAUAAGUAAAAUUUUAUGAUUCCCAUACCCAUCUAUUCAUGGGCGGUAUGGUAAAUGUAGUUCAAUGGAUAAGUCAAAAAACGAGUUUGGCAACCCAAUUGACAAGUCAGGGGAGGUUUCUGAAAUUAUCCCUUUUCUAAAUUGAAAAUUUUGAUAUGUCAAAUUAGAAUAGCUAUUAGGGCAUUACUUGUGAAUGUCAGCAGAAGUAAUAGGAAAUUGAGAUAGAAACGACGUAGUUUUGUCACUGGUAUAAAUGAAAUGGAGAAAAAGCGCGGGGAAAAGAAAAAAAAAACGCGGCAAGGAAAAUUUUGCCGCUUCACUAAAGUUUGCCCAAUACAUUUCUCUUUGAAAGGUCUCCGCCUCUUACAAUUCACACCAAAAAGUUCCCUCAGUUUCUUCUCCAAAUCUAAACCCUUGGACCCUAUUCACAAAAUCCAUCAUCGUCAAAAUCAAUCUUCCAUUUCUGCCUCUUUUUUUCAUUCUUUAAUCCCUACCCUCUCUCUUUCUAUCUUGAGUUUUUAGAUGCACUCCAAUUUGACCAGAAGAAGAGAAGGAUGGUUUAGUGGUUAAAAGGUAAGUGUAUUAUGGGUUUUUGAAAAUCAUAUGCUUUGCCUGCCCACUGAAUUAUUUUCUCCCCUGUUGCUAGUUUGAUUUUUUUUUCUUUUUUUAAAAUCUGAUUUCUAUGUUGAGUAUUAAUAAUGUGAUGGAGAAAAACAUGGGGCAAUAUUAAAAGCAGUUGGCUGGUUGAUUGAAUGCUGGUUUUUUUUUUGCUGGUAUCUAAUGUAAUGCCACAUAGAAUGUGUCCGCCUCCUUGUUUCGGCCUUGGGGCCAUCGACAGUACCAAUUCAGGACUCAGGAGGCAGUCCCAUUCUCCCACCGCGGCCGAUUGUUAAUAUUAAGCAAGACAAACCCAUCAAACCCUGCCGUGUGAUCUGGUAUUUGGCGACUAAGCCCGAUCAAUCAAUUGAGGCUUCCUUUUGCAAUCCUGUUGAAUUUCUAAGCACCUUUUGCAUUUACUUUAGCCUACUGAUUCUACAAAGUACUUUGGCAGUCAGGUAAUAAUACGCUGAUACAAAGUAUAAUAAAGUGUAUAAAAAUAGUGGUAGAGUUUUUUUUUAAAUUCAAGUACAAAAGUGGAAGGGAAAGGGGAAAAAUGGAUGUCUGAGAAUUGAAUCAGGACAUUAUGAUUAUGUAGUUAAUGCUUCUCUCAACCGAAUUGGAACUUGGGAAUUGGUUUCUAUUCCUACGUUAGUGCAACUGGGCUGGCACAAAAUAUAGGAUAUAGAAUCCCAGGUGCUUUACUUCUAUUGACUAGUAACUACUAAGAAUGUCAAAGAUGGUGUACUGUUCAUGUCAUUUGGUUUCGGAAAAACAUGUAAAAUUUGGCAAAGUCAGAACUAGUGAAUUGGGAAAAAAGUUAACUGUUAGCAAUUGUUUGAGUUGUAGUUGAGUUUCCAAACUUGAUUCAUAUUAUGGUAAUAUGGCAAUUAAGUUUACCAAAAAAAUAAUUGGCACCAAUACAGAGGUUUCUAAAUUUUAACUUGUAAAGCAAAGUUGGUCCCUCAAACAUGAACAUAAAAUCUUUUUAUUUCUUGAGUUUAGAUAAAAUUCCUGCUAUCCCAAUGUUUUUUAUGAAAAUGUUAUUCAAUGAGAAUAAUUUGCAUUUGUGGUUUUCUAUUCACAUGGGGAAAAUGUGCAUGCCUUGGAUCAUUUUCAUGCAUAUGUUGGUGCAUUUAUAUAUGUACAUAGAGAAAGUAAGCUGAUGCCUUGUUCUGUUUGCUUCAUAAUAAUGUGCAUGCCUUGUUCUAUUUGCAUAGUAAGCUGAUGCAUUUAUAUAUGUUGGUGCAUUUAUAUUUUCAUGCCCUGUUCUGUUUGUUUCAGAAUAAUUAGGAAAAGUCAUUCAGCACUUUUGGUUCUUUCUCAUUUUUUUAAAAUAUUCUUCAAGAAAUUUGCAAGCUGAUGUUAUUUUUCUUCUUGAAUAAUUAGAGAAGUACGUACAGCACCUAUUCAAAAUAUUAAAAUUUUACUAAAGUUCAUUAAUGUUUCACCACAGGUUUGAAUUAAAGAUAGCUAUCUGUGAAAAGAAAUCAUUUUGAAGACGUUGCACAUUGAUUUCGCUAGAGGUACAAGCCAACUUAUAUUCUUGUGUUCUUUUUUAUUAGGAAUUAGAUUAAGUUACAUAUAUGAUAUUAAAUUUGUUCAUUUGUUUGAACCUGUAAUGUACGUUCAUUUUCAUCUUUUGGUCAUUUGGAUUCUUAAUUUUUUUUUAAACUGGAGUGUCAUUGCAGUAGAUAUAUUAUAUGACCUGCAAAUUUUAUUCUUAACAUUGAUUUGUGUAAAAAACUAUUUACUUGGUGACACGUGAUAAAUGGCUAGUAGCGGAAAACCUUUGGGGUUCUCAUGUCUUGUGCUUUUAUCUCAAACAGUGACCUUCUCGUUGACUUCCAAAUAGCUUCUUGGUAUCAUAAUAAUUUUUUGGUUGUAUGAGUGAUGCUCUUUGUUAAUAUUAUUCUUAAUUGCUUUCUUUUGCUUAUAUAUGUAUAUGUAUAUGUAUGUAUGUGUAUAUUUUAAGGUUAAAUUUGUCAUGGUUACAGAAUAUGGAUAAAACUUGGAUGCAAAAGAAUAGACGAAGCAAAGAAUAUUGGGAUGGUUUGCAAAAAUUCUUAGAUUAUGCAUUCCAGAAUUCAAGUAUAAAUGGGAUGAUAUUAUGUCCAUGUAAAGAAUGUAAGUGUGGUGUAUGUAUUACCAGGGAGAAUGCAGAACUUCAUUUGAAAGUUUAUGGUUUUGUUAAAGGAUACACCCAUUGGGCAGCUCAUGGAGAAUUUGUUUACUCUAGUGCACCAAAACCUACUUCCUAUGAUAUCUCACAUGGGGUACGGGAUGAACUUGAUGACAUGCAUGGUUUGGUUCAUGAUGCAAUGGGAAUUCCUGAACAAGAUUAUACAAGGAUAGAUGGAACUGAAUACAAAAGCCAAUUGCCCAAUGUAGAAGCUGAAAAGUUUUACAAUCUAAUUGAUAAUUCUAACAAAGAGCUUUACUCUGGAUGUAAAAGAUUCUCAAAACUUUCCUUUAUGAUUCGGUUGCUUCACCUCAAAUGCCUUGGUAAACUCAGCAACAAAAUUUUUGAUAUGUUACUUGAUUUGUUGAAAGAAGCCUUUCCAGAUGCAAUGGAUGGUUUGCCUAAGUCUUAUUAUGAAGCUGAAAAGUUAAUGAAGGAAUUAGGACUUGGGUAUGAUAAAUAUGAUGCAUGUCCGAAUGACUGCACUUUAUAUUGGGGGGUAGAUGCAAGAAGAAAGCAUUGUGAAACAUGUAAAGAAUCUAGAUGGGUUAAAUCUGAAAAUGAUCCGACUGGUGAGGGAAGAAAAAUACCGCAUAAGGUUUUAUGGCAUUUUCCCCUAAAACAUAGGUUACAACGCCUAUUUAUGUCCUCCAAAAUUGCAGGCCAUAUGAGAUGGCAUGCAGAAGGUCGUACUAAGGAUGGUAACAUGAGGCACCCUGCUGAUUCUCCAUCUUGGCAAACAUUUGACUUUCAUCAUCCAGAAUUUUCUCAAGAUUCUCGUAAUGUGAGGUUGGGCCUAGCAUCAGAUGGAUUUAACCCAUUCAAAAAUAUGAGUUCAACUCAUAGCACUUGGCCGGUAAUAUUGAUGCCAUAUAAUUUGCCGCCAUGGAUGUGUAUGAAACAAUCGAACUUUAUGUUGUCAUUGUUGAUACCCGGUCCAUUUGCACCAGGAAAUAAUAUUGAUAUAUAUUUAAAACCUCUCAUAGCAGAAUUAAAGGAAUUGUGGGAUGUUGGAGUGAAUACAUAUGAUGCAUCAAGAAAAGAAAACUUUCAACUUCGUGCAGCACUUUUAUGGACCAUCAGUGACUUUCCAGGUUAUGCAAUCCUCUCCGGAUGGAGCACUAAAGGAAAACUUGCAUGUCCUGUAUGCCAUAAAUACACAUCUUCACAGCAUCUGCAAAAUUGGGGAAAAUAUUGCUAUAUGGGGCAUCGAAGGUACUUGGAAAUGAACCAUCCAUUUCGCAAAGAUGCUAAAUCUUUCAAUGGAGCUGUAGAGUAUGGAAAACCACCAGGAAGGUUAAUGGGGUCUACAAUUUUAGAUGAGUUAGCUGGUUAUAGUAUUAAACUUGGGAAGACAGUUAGUGACAAUCCAGAAUUGCCAUUUAAUUGGAAAAAAUUAAGUAUUUUCUUUGAUUUGCCCUAUUGGAAAGACAAUAUGAUACGUCAUAAUCUUGACGUUAUGCACAUUGAGAAGAACAUCAGUGAGAUCAUUGUGGCUACAUUGUUGAAUCUGGAAAAAACCAAAGAUAAUAAAAAGUCACGUCUUGACCUUCGUGCUAUGGGUAUAAGAUCAGAAUUGCAUCCCAUUGAGAAGGGAAAUGGUAGGAGUGUUCUGCCUCCAGCUUGCUUUACAAUGAAAAAGAAGGAAAAGGAGAUAUUUUGCAAAGUUUUGAAAGGGAUAAAAGUUCCAGAUGGCUACGCAGCAAAUAUUUCUAGAUGUGUUAAAGUAAAGCCACCAAAAAUUUCUGGAUUAAAAAGUCAUGAUUACCAUAUUUUGAUGCAACAACUUCUCCCAAUAGCUCUGCGCAGGACUUUAUCAAAAGCAGUUCGCUCUCCUUUGAUCAAAUUGAGCAGGUAUUUUCGCAAGUUGUGCUCCAAAGUUUUGGAUCCAGCAGAUUUAGUUCAUUUGGAAAAAGAGAUUGGUAUCAUACUUUGUCAAUUAGAAAGGAUUUUUCCACCAUCCUUUUUUAAUGUGAUGGUACAUCUAGCUGUUCAUUUGGUUAGCGAAGCGAAAAUAGGAGGGCCUGUCCAUUACCGGUGGAUGUAUCCUAUAGAAAGGUACUCAUGAAAUAUUUAAGUGAAGUAUUUUGAAAAUUUUAGACAUUUUUUAUCAUUAACUUCAUCUCAAUAUUCUAAACCUGAAUUAAAACUUGCCUUGUCAAGGUAUUUAGGAACUUUGAAAUCCUACGUCCGAAAUAGAAGUCGACCAGAAGGCUGUAUUGCUGAAGGGUAUUUAGCUGAGGAAUGUUUGAAUUUUUGUUCCUUAUACCUAGCUGAUUAUGUUGAAACGAAGUUUAAUCGGACAAGUAGAAAUGAUGAUGUGGGCAACACCUCAAGUGAAGGCUUCGAUGUAUUUUCCAGUUCAUGUCGUCCAUUAGGAAAAGGAACUCCAACAAAUUUCAGCAAUGAAAUUUUGAGAAAAGCACAUCAAUAUGUGCUAUUUAAUUGCGACCACAUCAAGCCAUAUGUUGAGUAAGUAAAUUCCUUUCAAUUCAAAAAUUAUAUAUGUUAAAUACUUAGUGAGUUUCUAUAUGCAGCCAACACCAUAAAAUGGUGGAGGAGCAAAAUCCAUGUGCUGGAAAACAUGUCAUUGAGCGUAUUCAUUGUGAGAACUUUACAGAUUGGUUUUCGGACCAUGUAAGCUCAACAAUCUUACAGGUUCUAUUAUCUUUUUUUUUUAUGCAUAAAAGAAGAAAUUUGUCAUUGUUACAUUUUGUAUAUAAUAGGUUAAACAGAUUCAAGUGGCUGAUGGUGUUGACAUCUCCAAAGAUUUGAAACUUCUGGCUAGGGGUCCAAAUAAUGUGGGGAGAACAUAUCAAAAGAUUCUUGUCAAUGGCUUUCGCUUCCAUACAAGACAAUUAGAAUCUCAGAGGAAAACUCAGAAUAGUGGGGUUCUUGUCAAUGCAACAACAUCAAGCUUUUCGAGUACUAAAGAUAAUAAUCCAAUUUUAAGUGACUUGGCUUACUAUGGUAUUUUGACGAAUAUCCUUGAGUUAAAUUACACUGAAGGCCGAACUGUCACCUUAUUUGAAUGUGAUUGGAUAUCAAAAGGCAAAAGAUUAAAGCAAGAUGAGGAUGGAUUCACAUUGGCCAACUUCAAGAAUGUAAAGCCUCACCCUGAGCCAUAUGUGAUAGCAACCCAAGUUUCACAAGUUUUUUAUGUUGAAGACCCUUUAGCUGAAGGCUGGAGUGUUGUUGUUGCUACAUCUCCUAGGAAUGAGUUUAUGAUGGACCCCGUAUGUGAUAUUGAGAUGUAUUUGCAGAGCACAAUUACCUCAACAACUCAAAUGGACAAUGAGAAUGAAGACAUUCGAUGGGUUCGAGAAGAUGAUGGAGAUGAAAUACUCCACUAGCCUGAAUUGUUGAAAUGUUUGGUUUUUGCUAUUAAAACUGUAAAAGUUGUAACUAUAAACGUGGUUGCAAUUUCACAUGCAUUUUCUUGUAGAUGCAAAUUCAGAUUAACCUUGUUGUGCCUUUGCAUUUGUCUAUUUUAAAUUUUCUGUUUUAACUUACUUACUUGCACUUUAAAAUUGAUUUGUUAGUAGAUGAAAAUUUUCAGUCUAGUUGUAGCCUUUCUAUUAUCAUAUUCGUUUGAGAUUUUGCUAUCCUUUUUGUAUUUGUGUUCUUUUAUUUGUUAAAUGUUUUUAUUUGUAGGAAUGGCAAGGACUAAAAGACAGAAGAUUACCGGAAAUACACUUGUUGAUCAACACGAGGAUAUAGCUGAAAAUCAGAUUCACAUUGAGGAGCCUAACUCUACAGGUACAUCUCUAAUAAGUCAUGCCCAGUUCUGAUUUUCAUUCUUGAGAUUCAGUUUCAAAACUUUUAGUUCUACUAGUUUCUUUUGGUAAUGAAAUUCACCGGCGUCAUAUUUCAUGGUUAUAGAUGAAGAAAAUGCAGAUGAAAAUUCACAAAGAAAAACUAGAGGGCCAACAUAUAUGACAGAAAUAUGGGGUAAACCUAGUAGUUGUCAUCGGUACAAAGUUAGAUUUGAUAAGGAUGGUGAGCCUGUUGGCAAGAACAAGUCCAAAUUUACUGAGUUCUUAGGAACAAUAGCAAGAAAUGGAAAGUAUGCUCCUCUAGACGUGACAGAUUGGCGUGAAAUGACAAAUGAUAAGAAGCAAGACAUGCUUGUAUUGGUGAAGGUAAUGCACAUUUUGCUUGAUGCAAAUAUACAGCUGUACCCUUUAUAUGACAAAAAUAUGGAUCUAACUAUUUGAGGUGUUAUUGUAGGAAAAAUUUCGUCUUCCUCCAGGUGCAGAUUUUUGGACUUUGAAAUCAAUCGGCAAAAAAUGGAGAAAUUGGAAAUCAGCUUUAAAGGCAAAAUAUUACAAUCCAAAUGAAUCCAUUGAGAGUCAAAUUAACAAUAGGGAUCAGCGGAUCUUGAAAGAUCAGUGGAGAAAUCUUCUGGCUUACUGGAGCUUAGAGGAAACAAAGGUAUAACUGUUUUAACUAUUAAAUAUCAACCAUUAUGUUGAGAUUAUAAGUUUUCACUAUUUUUCUAUAAUUUCAGAAUACCAGCGAGAAGAAUAAGAUGAGUCGGGCUAAGAAAACAAUGAAUCAUAAGACAGGGAAGAAAUCGUAUGCUCAAAUUCGAAAGAAAUUGGUAAAUCUUUUAAACCUUUUAGUUUCAUUUAGUUUUUUCUUGUAUCACCUAGUGGUCUUAUGAAGACUUCAUUUUCUAUAGAUGAAAAAAUUAGGUCAUCUCCCAUCACGAGUUGAUAUGUUCGAACACUGUUAUACUGACUCAAACGGAAACCCGGGAAAUGAUGACGUUGCAGCUACAUUAGUAAGUUAUUAAUUGGUUGAUGAAAUUAGUACUCUAAAUGACUUAAAUUGUCUACUAACUUAGGACUGAUUUUAUCUUCAUUAAUGUAAGAUAAUCGACUUUAGUAAUAUUGAAUUUUUUCUGGAUUUUAAAUACAGCAAGCUUUGAAGGAAAAAGUUAGCCAACUUCCCCCUGGUUCUAAUGAUGAUGUUGGUCGUAAUGAUGCAUUUGCCCAAGUAUUUGGGGAAGAUAACAAUGGGCGUGUGCGCAUGUAUGGUCUAGGUGUGACACCAUCAGACAAAUGGGGUAACGUACCUAGUCGCAGCACUUGUCAGCGUAUCGUUAUGGAGCAAAAGGCAGCAAUUUCUAAGAUGGAAGAUAAAUUUGCUGAGCAAGAUCAGCAGCUGAAAGACCAAGCCAAAGAACUUGCAGAGCUCAAAGCAAUGGUGUGUCAGCAGCAAAAUAGUGGCUCAAAAACUGGUGGCUCGAUAAAUUCAACGUCCUCUAAUCAUGUUUCAAAAUCUCCUAUGGGUGCUCGUUCUCUUCAGGUAUAUUCAUGAUUAUUUUUCAAGAAUUUAUUGUGAUUAUACCAUAUGAGGAUACUCACUUUUGUUGUUUGAAACUUGUUGAUUCAUUAAACUGCUAUUUUGUUUGGUUAUAUUGAAUAGUAAAACAUGGUAAUUUCAACUUAGUAAAGUCAUGGUUAUUAAGUUUUAUUGCUGAAAAUUGGAGAAAUGCUCAAAAUGCAGGGGAAACUCUACCAAAUUUUUUUAAAAAAUAAAUCUACCUAAUUCAAUUCUAUGACUUCAAAUUAUCUUGUAGGAAGGUGAUUGGGUGGAUAUUUUCAGCUUGUUUGAUCCAACAAAAUGUCUAGCUAUUGGUCAUCUCCAAGGAAUUGAUCCUUCUAAAGUUGUUGGUGGACAACCAUUAGGACCAUGUUGGUGUGAAAUACUAGUACAAAUCGUGAUGGAACGCAAUGAACAAUUGAUUAGGCCUUAUGGGCUAUUGCAAACAAUUGAAGAUGCACUUGGUGCACCGAUUGCUUGGCCACUGAAAUUGGUAUAAUUUGACACAAGAUUGUUCAAGUUUUUUUCUUUACAAAUAUUUGUAAGUUGGAUGGAUAAUGAAGUGGUGUUCUUACUUAAUCUACUAAUUUUAUAGGUGAAGAUUCAUGAGGAUUGACAGUAGCCUUUUGUUUGGAGAAGCAAGAGUUGGACAGCAGCCUUUUGUUAGAGAAGCAAGAGUUGGACAGCAGCCUUUUGUUUAGAGAAGCAAUACUAGUUUUUGAGUUAACUUCAAAUUUGUGGAAUAUUUUGUGUUCUUGAGAAUGUUGCUGGAUUCUAUUGCAAGAGUUGGAUGACAGCCUUUUGUUUAAAGAAGUAUUAAUGCUAGUUUUUGAAUUAACUUCAGAUUUGUGGAACUUUUUGCUUUAUUUAGGAUGUCACCAAUUUUUUACUUUCAAGCAGAUUUAUAUUCUUUGGCAUAGUGGUUGUCUUACAAUUGCAUAUUAUGUGUUUGGCGUAUUGUAUUAGGAGAUUAGAGUAGAAAAUUUAGAUGAAAAUUGCACAAAAAAAAGACAUCUAUUGAGGCACUUGCCAAUGCCUACAUUGAAACUAAUGCACCUAGUAAAACCACAUAUCGUGACACUUUUUGAGUGUUUGGAGAUUCCUUUUUACAAUGGUAGAAAAUGCCUUGAAAGACAGGUAAACACUACACUAUAAACUGCCUCCAUUAAUGUAUAUAAUGCACUUCAUUGUGCCUAGACAAUUACUUUUUGGCAACACGUAAAAGUGUCCUAAAAAGGGCAAAAAUGAUACCAAGUAAAGUGCCUUUAUAGGGCAUCUUUAGAGGCAUUGGUGUGUGCCUAUUUGCAAUUUCUAUCAUGGCAAUUGUGAAUGCAUCAAAUUCAUUAAACAUGACGUUAAAAAACGCCUCCAACCUUUUCCAAACGGGUAGUUUAGUAGACAUUUGAUGUGUGCGCCUCAAUAGUCUAAGUGCCUCUAAAAGUUUCCUAUUGCAUCAUUUUGUUGCGCCUCCAAAUAUAAUUUUUCUUGUAGUGAUCCUACUUAAGUGGGUUUUGGUUCACAUACAACGUGGUUUUUACUUAUUCUUACUUUUAGUAUGUCAUGAAUUUUCUUUUGAGUAAAUGUUAUCUACAUUAUUCCCAAAAAAGUUCAAAAAUCUUAUUUCCAAAAAAAAAAAAUCUACAUUAUGCCCCUAUCACGCACGUGGCAAUGUUUCUAUUUAGCAUGAUAACUCAAGUUGAUGGGAGGGUUAGGAUUAUAUGUUUUAAUUAGUUAGAGGGAUAAAAUUUAUUAAUCAAGAGUUGAAGGGUUAAAAGUUGAAUUUUAUAAUAGUUUGAGGGCCAUGCUAGGCAUAUUAUGUCAUUUUUUAAACAUAACGACUCAAAUUGAUGAAAGGAUUAGGGUUAUAUGAUUUAAUUAGUUGGGAAGCUAAAACUUAUCAAUUAAUAAUUGUAUGAUCAAAUAUUAAAUUUCUUAAUAGUUUGGAAGCCAUUGAAAUAUUUUACCCGUCUUUCUGUGUAUAAGUGUGCAUGGUAGUCAAACCGCUGGAACUAAUUAAAGAAGAAAAAAGUUGUAAUACCAAAGCCUUAAACCAUUUUUGCCGACCUAACUUGCCUUGUGAUGGGUAGGAAAUCUUAAAGCUUUUCAGUCAAAUGGUACUUUCUAUUAUGUGCAUAACCAAUUGACAAACAAGUGACACACUCAAUUUGCAACAGGCGCCAUAGUUGAUUGAUAAUAAUAAAAAGAAAAAAGUAAUCAAUGUCAUUUUUUUUCUCUCAACUAAUCUGUCAAAUUAAAAUCCUUUUAUAUUUCUCUAUCUUCUUACUUAUUUGAAUUAAUUUUUGGGAUAAUUUCAAAAACCUCCCCUGAGGUUUCUGGUGAUUUCACUAAACUCCCUUGAGAUUUUCAAUAUUACACUUAUCUUCCCUUAAUGAUAAAUAAUGACUAUAAUAACCUUCAUAAUUUUUUAAAAGACAAGCCAUUGAUAAAAAAAAGGGAAAAGAUAUAGAAAAAUGGAAAAUAAUUCUUCUUGACUAGGCUAUAUAUUGUGUUUGUUAAAUUGUAAUCUUCUAUCACUCAAAUAUACUAAUCACGGUAGAUGUCUCCUUCCUCAUCGUCAUCCUGCCAUCACCAUCCUUACCACCUUUCUCAAAGUGUCUCUUGAAUUUCUGAUCUCCUAAAUGCUAAUUCAAAACUUAUAACUCUUUUUUAUUUUGCCACCCUACUUAUUAAAACCUUGGUAAUUCUAUUUGUAAAUUGAAAUAGAAUGGAAAUCUAAAAUUUUCACACAGAAAACCCAUUAAAAGUUGAAAUCUAAAAUUUUCACAUAGAAAACCCAUUAAAAGCCUUUACCUCACUAAUCUUAUUGUCAUUCUACUGUUGUUAAUGGUGAUGGAAGAAAUCAUCACCGCCAACAACCCAAUUGUUCAUAUCAUUGAGCACAAAAAAAGCUAUUGAAUUACGAGAAAAUAUAAUUUGAUAAAUUGUACUAAAAUUACUACUCCAAACUUGCACUUUGUUGAUGUUUUUCCUAGUUCCUCUUAAUAGACAUCAAACUUGUUCUCAAUAAAAAUGUGUCAAUUCAAAAAAAAAAAUGUGGGCUGAUUUAGGAUGACCAACCCAAAUGUUGAGAGUAGAGGUUAGAAGAAUUUUGGUAAUUGAGUGCUUGGCCGUUUUAGUGGGGAAAAUGUAAGGAUUGUGAGUUUUAUGACUAAUGAUUUGGUAGACAAUAUAUGGAAGAAACCUAUAGAAAGGUAAAGAUUGUGAAGGCAAGAAUUACGACGGUGGAUUUUGGCAUCUAAGACAAAGAGUUUGUUCGGAAAAAGAAAAAGAAGUGAUAAGAGUUUGAAACUUUGGGUGGAUGUAGAAAACAGUGGGGAUGGAAACUAUCAAGACAUUGACUAAGCAAUAAAACUCAUAAUUUUGGUAGUAUACAAGUGUAUUCUUGACUUUUAAAAAAAUUUAAUGAUUAUUCAUACUAAGGAAAUUUAGAUGAGGGCAAUUUUGGGCAUUCAUAUGCUUUUUUUGGCCUUACAUCAUCAAGGUGAAACCCAAACCUAUGUUCUAGGGGAGGUAUGUGUAAUUUUCAAAAUGUGAGGGUAGCUAUUUGAAAUUACUAGAAACCUCAAGGGAGGCUUCUGAAACUAUCCCUUAAUUUUUUAAGCAUACAUGUUAAUCCACCCAGCUUGGUACAUACUACCAUUUAUGUACUGAUAAUUUGGCUCAUUUUUACAAGAAAGUUUCUCUAAUUUGUUUAGAAUAAAUAGAUCAUUUUAAUCUUGACUUAAACCGUUUUGUUCAAUGAAGUAAACAAACAUAUGAAAAUCGGUGUUGAGUACUCUUCAUGCAUUAAUGCAUGAGUAAAAUCUAGUUUCUUAAUGUGCAAUUUAAUACCCAUCGAUCAUUGAUUAGAGAGUAUAUUGCUUGGUCUUUUAAUUGUCACUUCUGGUUCUAGUCAGUAAAAUUCAAAAUCGAAUAUCUUUGGUGUCGUGUAGUUUUCCUUACUCUUAAAAAAAAUAAGUGUACUUAUUGACAAAAUAUACAACGCACUUGUAACUUUUCAUGAUUAAUACUUCUAUUUUGUCAAAAUUUAAAGUAAACAGACCAGUCAUUUGCAGCUCCAAAAAUCAUAUUUGAGAAUAUUUGGAGAAAGCGUCAAACAGGCUCAUAAUUGUUGCUUUUACUGUGAUUGCUUCAUGUGGGUGUCUCGCUCAUGCACACACUAACAAGUAAACAGACCGGAUGUAGAUAAGGUCACAAUUUUCAUGCGAAUAUAUAGUUAUUGUACUUCUUACAUAAUUCGGUGCAGUGUUAUAUAAUUUUGUUAUAUGCGUAAAUUUUAUUUGCACAUAUCAACUCAAUAGGUAAAUAUAACUUGGUCUGUAAGCGUGUACGCCAAAUUUUAAAAGAAGUAUAACAACUAUAUAGAAUUGCGCCUAACCCCAUUGUGUUUACUAUGAAUUUAUUCUCAAAGUCGUUGCUAGCUGUCGAAAAGCAUAGUGUGAUUGACAUUAAUAUUCCUCAUGAUUUUCAGGGACAUCAAUCUUCGAAUGACAUAUCUGGUUGAGGUACAACAAUAUUGCAGGUGGAAGAAGAAGCUGAACCAUUAAUAUUGACGUUAUUGGAGUCUCUUUUAGUUUUACCUAAUAAUGUUGGAGAAAAGUGCCCUUUACCAUUGAAUAACAUUAUAGAUUAAUUUGGUCUUUAAAAGUCAUAGUUAAAUUAAAAUUUUCAAGUUUAGUCCUUUAAAGUUGUGGAUACUAAGCCUAAGAGGUCACAUAUGCCAGAACGGAAAACGUACAAAAAGGGUAAGCCCAUCUUAAAAAUAAAUGCAGAGAUUGCUCAAAGGGUAAAAAACAAAAAUCAUCCGUGAUAAAUCUAAUUUAUAGAAAAACCUUCUGUAGUUUCAAAACGUACAACACGACACCCCAUAUUUUGAACUAAAUUAUAAAAGUAACAGAAUCCGUUAACAUUAAGGGAAAUUGUAAUUCCUGAGUCUAUAAUAUAGGUUAUUUCUAGCCCUAAUUUUCAGACACUUUCCAGAAUCUUUAAAAUCCAAGCCACAUGAGUAAAGAUUGAUAUAAAGUUUUAUAUACAUAUUUGUAACAUUCAAAUUUACCGUGCUUGUGAUACUACUAAGAUUGAUGGUAAACAUAACUGCCUUAACAUUUGAUAUUAUUAAGUAUUAGUUGCAAAUUGAGGAAUUAGAGGUUAUGAAUUCAAAUCCCUCUACCCCUCAUUUCUUAAGUUUCAUUCCUCUCACACUGAAAAAAAAAUUAAAAGAAAACGGUUCUUCUGUACCAUUUAAUACUAGAUUAAAAAAAUUAGAUUUUUCGGUAUCCUAUGCAAAAAUAAUGAAUAAUUAACUUGCUUUUCAAAAUUACUAUGCAUGUAUAUUGCGGAGGAAAUUUAAUAAGAUGUUACGUAUUUAAGAAGUGCAUCCCAGGCAAGUCUGUAAUUGCUACCCUUGCUGUCCAGAGGAACCACCCUCUCAUCCAACCAAAAUAUGCUCCAUUUUGGCCAAUCCCAGUGCAUCCCAUGUUGUAUUGAUAUUAAAAUUAAUCAGGCAAUCAAUAUGUAAAAACUGUACUCUAUUAAACACGAAAGAAGGUAACAUUAAUUUCUUGCUUGCAUGCUUUGACAGAUUUAAAUUAUUCUUUCGUACUGUUGAUUUACCUCAUAGUGUCCAUGAGACUGCCUCCUGAGAGGACCACAUUAAAAGAACCUUUUUCUUUGAUAAAUCUUUCGGAGAGAUCGGCAAUGUAUCUGGCCAGGGCCACUGCGACACCAUCCUCGGUGUCGAAUUUUAGGACGGUCCUGUUUCCGAUUUCACAAGCCAUCUCUGCUGCCCUUGAUCCGAGACUUUUAGUUGUUUUAGCUUUGUUGAAAAGUGGAUUAGGCUUGCAACUUGCUGCUUAUUGUAGAGAUUUGAGCGGGAUGGGACGUACUUAUAACAGCAAAAUUUUCGGAUCACCAGCCUAAAUUUUUCCACAUGGGAAAUGAAGGAAAGAAAGCUCUGCAAGAAAAGAGUUAUCAGUAGCAGCCAUUAUUUGACUUAAAUUUUUCUACAUGGAAAAGUGAAGGAGAGAAAUCUUUGCACUUAUAUAGUUAUCAGUAGCCGCCACAUGUGAUUUGUUCUAAUACGAUUAUAUACCGUUACGCUGCCACACACCAGUGAGCAUUAUUUUUGUUGUUUCGUUGUCAUAUACGCUACCGUCUCUGUUACGCCAUAGUCCAGAUGUGCCAGUCACGCAACAUUUGCCGUAUACUCAACUUUCGCUCAAGAAUACAAGGCAAUAUUAAAUUAGACUAAAACUUAGAAAGUAUUAAAUAGCAUAACUAAAUAUAGUACGGUACAAAUCUUAAAUGGAAAGUAUAUUACAAGUGUCCAAUAAGUUCAUGCAUUAAUUUUUUAGAUGAGACAACGGGAAAAAAAUUAAAUAAAACUAACAGCCAAAAGCAGUUAGACUACUAAUUUCUAUCCAUUUAGACCUAAUAAAAAUCAUUGUCAGGUCUUUAAUGUAAACCAAUUCAUACUCUUCAGAAUCUGUAAAAGUAAUAAAAAUUGGGAUGACCGAUAAGUCGUUAAUAGGUAGUGCCUACCCCUCUGUUGGACCAUGCAAUCAUACCUUUACAUUUAAAUACAUACAUACACAUAUAUACAUAUAUAUAUAUGUCAAAUUAUUUGCACACCAUUCACAUGUAUAAUUAUUAAAAAUAACGUUCUUCGUAAAACAGUCAGUAAUAAUGAGUGACACAAUAAUUUGUAAACAUCUUAUUCAUAACCAUACAUGAAAACCAUAGAGUCAUAAAUCAUUUCAUAUCAACUCAUAACAAGUACAUGCAAUGACCGCCUUCUGGGUACUCAAUUUAGAUAUUAAACUCUUCUAAGUGAGCGACCAAUAGAUUUCAUGACUACCGAUUGGUCUCAUUAUAUAUAGGUCAAUCAGCCGAGUUCUAUACCGAACUAUCAUGACCUUAUCAAUCGGCCAAACUCUAUGCCAGGCUACUAUGACCAUUACAUAGGAUUAUAACCCCUACCGUCUAUUCCAUGACUGUUUUGAACUUUACUUAAUAUAAAUUCAUUUCACACGUCACAUACAUAGUUCUUUAAUUUUACAAAAGAUACCACUCAUUUUGUAUAUAAUAACAUAUCAAAAUACUUCAAAUAAUUCACAUGAUCCAUCUUUAUAUAGCAAAAAUAGAACUUGCACAAAUACUCAAGUAAAUCAUUUAAUCAAGUAAAUUUCAAAUUGACACAUCAAAAUAAGAUAAGUAAUAAAAAUUUCGCUUUGAUUUUUUGAAAUCCCAAAAGAGUAAGUACCAUCUACUUUUGUCUGGCUAUUCGAGUGGGACUACUUUAAAUUUUUUAAACUUGUGUUGUACCUAUCAAAUGCAUAGGUAUUCUAAUUAGUAAAUAUUUCUUAUAGAUAUAUAAAUAUACAAAACUCUAAGCAACUAUAAGAUUCAUGUCUAGAUCAUUAUCUGAAGCCUAGAAGAGUUUCCUAAAUUGGAAAGUUUCUAUUUUUGGAAAGUUUCCUAAAUUGAAAAGUUUCUAUUUUUGGAAAGUUCCUUUUUUCCUUAUGUAAAGUUUCCUAACUCAUAAAUAAUUGUUUAUAAUCAUAUUUAUUAUCUUGGCUAUUAUUUUUUAUAUAUUUUAUUAUUUUAUUUGUUAGUAUUGUUAUUGUCUUUAUCAACACUAUUUUAUUUUAUUUUCAUUCAUACAUACAUAUAUAUAUAUAUAUAUAUAUAUAUAUAUAUAUAUAUUGGUUAAUUAGUUAUUAUUAUCUUUUGCUCUAUUUCGAUUUUCGCACCUGUAUGUGUAUUAUUAUUAUUAUUCAUGUAUAUACAAAUGUGUAUUUAUUUACCAUUACAAUUAUUAUCUUAGCCUAUUCCACUUGUAUUUAUAUUUUUAUUUUCAUUUAUAUCCUUAAUUUAUUUCAUCCAUAUUUGUAUCAUCAUCAUCAUCAUCAUUUUAAGCAUUUGUUUAAAAAUCUAAAACUUAUCUUACGUUGUAUAAAUUAAUCUAAUAAUGUUAGAUUAAAAUGUCUUAGAUUUCUACUUAAACAUCUUAAACUUAAUUAAUUAAGCAUAAGCUUGAAUAACUAAAUCUUUAAAGCCCAAAAUUAUUUUAGAUUAGUUUUUGAAGUUUAAUACCCAUGAUAAUCCAUUAAAGAUGGGUUGGUUAUAUCUAAAAUUUAUCUAUUGAACAUUCACUAAAACCAUGCUAUAUUUUUGGUCCAAGUAUAGUUGCCAUCUUUCUUUCGAAUUUGAAUAAUAACAGCCCAAGUUCCAUAUGCCAAGCAUUUCCUUAUUUCUCCUAGUCCUAGCCCGAUUCCCCUUCACACUUGGCCCAGCAUCCAACUCAACUAGCCCACACAUACCCAACUACAUCUUGACCCAAACCAUUUCCUUCCAGAUCCGACCCAUAAGACCGACCCGAUUCAUUAACCCAUCAAUUAGCGGGUCAUCUUCUUCCCCAUUUUUUUCCUUAACAGAAUUUUUCCCCCCUUUGGCCGGCCUUCAUGCCUGACUUGGUAUAAGAGGAGGGUCUUGCUCUCUUUUUUUUCCUUCUUCUUGCAUUGCUGAAGAAGCUUCAGCAACGAUGCAACUCUUCUUUUUUUUUUUUUUAAACUUUCCAUAGAAAUGGGUUUAGACUCUAUUUCAUCUCAUAGUAUAAAAUUUAACACACUAUUCCUACUAAUCCUAACAAGAAUCUUCCUAAAUUUCUCAUACAGGCAUAUACAUAUCAUAAUAAAUACAUAUACAUAAAAUCUUUAAAAUAAUUCAUGAAAUUAAUAAGACUUAUAAGAAAAAGUUUUAACAUGCGUUUAAAAGUUACAAGUCUAGAUGCUUAGUUCCCUACUUAUUCAACGGCAACGUCUUCUUCUUCUUCUCUAUUCUCAGAUGGUUCUUGUUCUAAGAGAAGACAGAUAAUGAGAAUUAGGAACGAUGUUAUUUCUUUUAAUUGUUUUGAUAAGUGUUUUAAAUUCCUAAUAACCAUCCACUACAUGGUAGUUACGUGGGUUAAGGAUUUUAGUUUAUCCUAUUUUAUCUCCUCCUUAACCCCCAAUUACCUUUUAACAUUCUCUACCAAUUUUUUUUACUUUUUACCCAUAGAAAAUUACCACUUAAUUAAUGAGCAAAAAUAAAAAUUGAAUAUAACAAUAAAAAAAUGUGGGUGUUACAGUCUCCCAUAGUGAAAGAACCUUUCUCCUUAUUGAGAGAGAUCACCAAUAUUUGCAAUAUACUUGUUUUAAAACAAAACUUUCCUAAAGUGUAUAUACUUGUGUUUUUUUUUUUCAUUUAAUCAACAACAUCUAUACACUACUCUCACUCUAAUAUUCAAACAGAGGUCUAGCUAGGUCACGAAGUGUUGGAAGGAAAAAAAACCCAUCUCUGGACGAAAAGGAUGCAUUAUUGUACACCUUUUGAUCAAUUUAAUUACAGGUGCAAAGAUUUGAACUCUUGACAUGCAAGUAGAACUACAUUAUAUGCUUUUUAUUACAAUAGAGCUCAAAACAGGAGAGGCAUAUGAAAUUCAAAACCUAAGGGGCUGCAAGUGAAUUAUCAAUAACCACAGGGGAGAUAACCAAAAUUAUCCCUCUUUUAAGUAAGUUGUUUUUAUUUUAUUUUUAUUUUCUCCUCUUUCUCUUUUCUGAUGAAACCAUACAAAAUUUUACAUCCACAAAGUCAAAUUUUCAGUCAAUUUUUGGAUAUUAUCAUAAAGAAAUAGUAAAAAUUGAAUAGUUUCUUGGACAGGCUUUUAGGACUUAAAAUUGGUGAUAAAUACAAUAAUAACAUGAUCUGUCGUUUAAAAAUUUUCAAUCCAUCACAAACCUAACUAAGGGUUCACAGACAGGUAUCGUGAUUAGUACCACUUCUUCCUUAUUCAGUACGUAUAUGUUCUAUUGGAGAUAGGGGUUACUUGUAGUUGAUGUAACCCAUCUACUUAUUAAAUGUCAUGCUAGCUCAUUGCUUUGUCAUCAAGUUUUUUUUUACAUUUUUUAAUUUUUUUUCCUCAAAUUAUGAUGGUAAGAUUCAUUAGGUUAUAAAUAAGGUUUACUCUUAAAUAUCUCUAAUUAAAGUAAUAACAAAAAAGGGCAUUGUUAAUAGAGUUAGACUAACAUAUACUAUGCUGCUUCUAUAUGAGAAGUAGUAGAUCUCAUCUAUUGUGAUAUGUGAAACAUCUAAACUAGUAUAUGUGUGCUUGAUAGGAUGAUUAAGUUCACUAAAUUGAUCCGCAUAUAGACAUCCUUUUAAGUGCAAAAAAAAUUAAUCUCUAAGUGACAUUUGUGUAAGUGAUUUUUAGAAUUACAGUUAUCAUAAUGUCUUGAGUACGGACAGUUAUACUUUAUUUGUUAUAUGAUUGCUCCUGUAACAGGUAAUGCUCACAACAUUAGCAAAUUGAUAUAUACAUAAAGUAUGGAAAGAUGGUGAAUAACCUAUAAGGAUUUAACAACUCUUAUGGAAUAGGAGUUAUCUCAUGUCUAGUUACUUGUAGAAGUAAAUGGAAGAGUUUUAGAAAGUGUUUAUAAAUAUUUCUUCAUUGGAGUUAUAUUUUAUACAAGAAAUGAACAUUAAUCACAUAUUGGAAUAGGCACAACUUAUUCCAAGAUUAAUGUGAGAUAAGUGCGAUAAAAGGAUAUUAAUUACACGAUAAAUAUUCACUAAAAGUCGAAAUCAUCCACUUCACUUUUUUCAUUAUUUGGAUGGUCAUGCUACAUUGUUAGAUGGCAAUGUUGAUCUAAAAAAAAUUGAAGCUAACAUCACCGUACCCACACGUAUGUGACUAUUCUUACCAUGUGUCGUAGAAUUUUGGGACCAAUCCAUCCUAAAUAUUGUAUUUCCAAGGAAUUCUGGGACCAGUCUAUCCUAAUUAAAUUAUUGUGCUUCCUGGUCCAUCUAAAUUAUUGCGCCUCAACCGAAAUUUUGGACCAGUCCUUCGUGAAUUUUUGGAAGCCAGUCCCUCUUGUAUUCAGACAUUCGAUAUAGUGAAAACUUGUAUCUAGUAUUGAAAAUUGCACAAGGUCUAGAUUAGAAUUGAAAGAGUAAAUUUUAUUAAAAAAUAUAAUGUUAAUAUUUUAAUGUUCAAUAGGAGAUUAUUUGAAAUAUUAUUUAGAAUACUUAUUAUAGUACUUUUUGUGAUAUGUAUGAUAAAAAUAUGUAUGGGAGAUAAAAAAAUUAUUAAAAAGAUAAAAAUAUAUUUUGAAAAAUGUAUUUAUGAUACAAGCGAACACUUUUUUUUUACCAAAUAAUGUCUAUCCAAACACACCCACAUUGUUUUUUUCUUUUUCUUUUCUUUAUUAUAAUUAUUGUUAUUAUUUUUUAUAAGCAAGUUGUUUUUCUUUUUUUUUUUUCCCCUUCCUCUCUUUUUGGGAACAAUGGACGUAAAGUUUUACACGCACAAGAGAUCGAUUUUCAAUUGAUUUUCAAAAGUUUAUAUAAUGAGCUUGUGAACAAAAGAAGCUAUUCCCAGUAGGACCUACAAAUUUUUUUAAAAAAAUUGUUGUUCGCUUUAUAUAUUUCAACUUGAGGACUGGGGACGGAACCAUCAAACGCAUACAGAAGAUCUCUAGCCAGCAUUAAGGACCAAAGAAGCUGAUAGGUUUUACUUGUGAUUGCUUCUAUCUAAUCUCUCUCUCUCAAAACCAUGCACACACAAAUACAUUAGGAGAUGAACAAACAAUAACACGAGACCCUAAUCAUUAUUAAGUUUAAUCUUAUUUAUUCUUCAAUUGUUUUUUUAUCUUAGAUAAAGUUAAUAUAUAGUGACAAUGUAUACACAAGUGAAGCGAGUUAAAUGAUAAUUAAUUACAAUUUAAACUUCAACUAUGUUUUACACUGAUACAUGCACGGUUGGUAUAGUAGAUACAAAAUUUAAAUUUCACGAGUCAGACUACACAUUUGGGAUCAAAAUUUAAAUUUCUGGCAUGGCAUCACAUCACAUCACAUCAUCAUUUGCUAUCCAAUUGAAUUCCUUGUGAGGACCGAGUUAGAUAUGUUUCCAUAUCAAAAUUAAUCAGGCAAUUAAUAAAUAAAAAUUAGAGAUAUAAUCGAAUCGAGUCAAGUACGAAUCCCACUCUUCUCUUCUCAUGCAAGGAGAAAUAAAAAUGAAAUUAUUGCUGUCUAUCGAACCUUUCCCACAAAAUGAUAGAUUUGCUUAAAAUCACAUUGCCACGUUAUCAUUAUCAAGCGGGUUCCACCGCCACAUCACAUCAGAUGUGAAUGAUAUAAGGUGCUCUAUCUUUCGCGUUAAUCUUUCGCGCCAGAGGAGCUGCCCUCUCAUCCAACGAAAUUAUACUCCAUUUUGGCCAAUGCAACUGUGUUGUCGGAUAGGAGAUUAUUCAGAACAAUUUUUUUUUUUAUAAAAUAUUGUAGCAAUUUUUAAUGAAAUUAAAUAUAUUUCAUUCUGGCCGAUGCGAUUGUGUGACGCUCUUUUGAUAUGAUGCCUGUAAAGUAAAAAUAUGAUUAAAAAUAUAUCUAUAAUAUAAAUAAAUAAAUUUAUGUAAAUAAUUUACUAUCCAAACUAAUUCGGUGUGAGAACCCGAGUUAGAUACGUAUCCAUAUCAACAUCAGUGAAGCAAUCAACACAUAAAAAGCAAACUCAUUGUUUUGUCAUCAUCAGUUUUUUUUUUUGUCAUUAUCAGUUAUUAAGCAAUCCUAGCAUUUACACGGACUCUUGUUUAUAUUUUUGUGUGCAUGGAAACCAAACCAUUGGAACUACAUUAUUCCGAUAUAUUUACUCACAGUAAAAAAUUUUGAAUCCAUCACAAACCUGACUAGGAUUGACACAGAGGUUUUCGUCAUAAUUAGUACCACUUGUUUCUUGUUCAGAAUGGUUGAUAUAUACUGCGAAGCAUCAACUACGAAUUUAUAAUUAUUGAAAGUGCAGAAAGGAAGAGUACACACUUUUCUGCCCUAUAUAUACCGCUCUGUGAACUGAGACUUGAACCAUCAGACUUGCCUAGGAGAUCUCUAGCCGCCAGUCAUUUGUAGCUCUAAAAUUCAGCAUUGAGAAGAAAUGGAGAAAGCAUCAAAAAAGCUGAUACUAUUUGCUUUCUUUGUGAUUGCUUCAUGUAAGUCUUUCCCUCAUGCAUGCACACACAAAUUAAAGAAAAUGGCUUCCACAUCCCAUAAAAGUUAAGGUUCUUACAUUUAUAUAUCUUUGUAAAAUGCAGAAUUUGCCUCUCCUAAGAAUUUAGAAAUCAUUUUAUAUUCCACUGAAAUUCUAAAAGCUCUCAAUUAUAUUCUAUUAUGUACGCAGAUGCUAGACUUCCUCACCGAGCUUUUUGCAUAUCUCAACUUCUGGUUCACCCAUAGCACACAGACACGCUAAACAAGCACAGACACGUUGACAUGGGACUUCAGUAACUAUUGAGGCCUAAUGAUCAUUAUUAAGUUUAAUCUUGUUUAAUCUUAAAUUGCUAAAUCUUAUCAAAAUUUGCCCGUAUCAACUCCUUAUUUGAAAAUUUUAGCGUGAAGACAUAGAAACUGCUCAUGAUCUACAGGGACAUUAGGCAUUCGAAAUAACUUGAGAUACAAUGAAAAACGAACGACAUAUAAACUAUUUGACGAGUUAACCAAUAUGAUUGGUGUAGUUUAAACUAUAAACUAUUGAACUGAACUUGCAAAAUUCAUUUGCAGUGGUCAUAGGGGGACCAAUAGCAAAGGUGGAAGCCUCAGGAGUCCAACCAGCUGAGACUGAAGCUGAAGCUAUAGGACGUUGCCCUUUCCCAUGCGUUACUAAUGUCCAGUGCCUCAAACUUUGUGGCAAGCCUAGAUGUGUCUAUAUCAUACCCACUCGCCGCAAACGCUGUGUCUAGUUUCUCCAUAAUUAUGAUCACUUGAUUUCAUCUCUUGUGGAACCAAGAGACUGAAGCUGAAGCUAUAGGACGUUGCCCUUUCCCAUGCGUUAAUAGUGACCAGUGUCUCAAUCGACUUUGUCGCAAGACUAGAUGUGUCUAUAUCAUGCCCACUCACCUCAAACACUGUGUCUAGUUUCUCCAUAAUUAUCACUUGAUUUCAUCUCUUGUGGAACCAAGGGAUCUGUAGGGCGCCUUCAAUAAUAAAGCAUGUGCAGUAGUGUCAUGUAUUAAGCGCCGAUAUGUACUUUUCUUGAUGUUGUUCACUUUACUCUUUUGCUUGUAUUUGUCUUUCACAGUACAGUGUACGUUUGAUUUGGGUCAUCCUGAAAUAAAGUUGAUUGUUAUCUAUAUUGGCAUU
rnacentral:lncRNA from 1 species